CUCCACUCUAUCUCUCUCAAUCUAGUAGAAACUAGAAGAUCUAUUUCUACUUUACAUUGGUUGCUAAGCCUAAAAAGAAAUAUUAUUUAGAGAAGAGGUUUUCCUUCGAGGGCACUCCUCAAUCUCUAUGAUAAUUUCUUGUCUCCUCCAGGGGCCAGAGGGGGUCUCCUUAUAUAGUCCUCCCCUUCUAUGCGUUUUUGGGUCGAUAGGCGAGGUGGUACUAUGUUAUUCUGGAUCCAAUAGGUCGGUGGAACGUCGUGUGCGAAGAGAGUCCGGAACGGGGUCCAGAGGUGGGCGGGCGCCCAGGUCCUUAGGGCGGGCGCCCUGGGCCUGGCCCCUUUCGGGCUCCGCUUCCUUCCCGUGGCUUCUGAAGUCUUCUAGAUGGUAGAAAAUUGCGAGGUGGGUUGAUAUCUCUAUGUAAUCCCGACAUGUGGGCCUUUCUUCCUUAUUUCCUGAUAACCCCCUGCAGAAAUAGACAAACACCAAAACUCGUGGAAUUCUGUCAGAUAAAACCCUAAGUCUAGAUGUUGAUUUCAUUUGGAUCCUUUUCUUUGUUUAUUUGAUAAUUAAAUUUGAUACUUAAGGACCGUCAACAAACUCCCCCAAGCUAACCUCUUGCUCGUCCCUGAGCAAGGAUGAACUCAAGAGUUUCUGCAGUGGUUUCAUUUCUUAGAAGUACACACGCAUUUAAGCAAGAUCUCAUCUCUGAGUUAGAAUAAACUGUUAAGACUUAAAACUUACUUACUUUACCUACACCAUAGGACUUGUAACCGUCACUUCUGUCUUGAGUGGUUAAAAGAUAGAACAGUCUAGCCAAGUGCCAUGUCUCUUAUUCUUGAUCAGCUAUAGCUCUGUGGUUUUUGCAGAUUUUCAAAUAAAACUUAGAAAUUUCUUGUAUGAUUCUCUCAGGUCUCUCUUUUGUGGUAUUUUUGGAUCCUUACCAAGGCAGUGAUGGUAUAUGCCUUCUCUCAAGAUAUGUAGUAUUUGUGGUAUGAAGCAUAGUGACAUUGUCUUCUCUCUCACCCUACUCUAAUAAGGCUUUAAUAUCUGGAGCUCAUAGGUGGGAGAUAAAGUAUACAUACUUACAAGAUAUUUAUUGCAUAGUCAAACCAUGGAUCCAAAGAAACAAAUCAAUAAGCCAAAUCAAGAUGUGCAUGUGUGGCGAAUGAAUGGUGUAUGGUGAUGAUGGUGAUAACAAUGGUGAAAGUCUAAUUCUACUUUUGCUCUUUUGAGGGGAUACAUACCUUUCUUGCACUUUGAAGCUUUUUGAGGAUAAUGAGAUGCUCUAUAUUUUCUUUUUCUUUCCUCUCAGGUGGGUAUCUUGUACCCCUAAUUCUACUGUCGGACACUUGUCCAUUUUUACCUUUCGUCUCACUUUUUUUCUUUUUCUUCGAGGUUCCGGGCACUUGCCCCUUUUUAUUUCCUCGUAUUCAUUUUUUUUUCUCUCUCUCUUUUUUUUAGAGCACUCAUCUCCUGAAAUAAUGUAGCAAGUGGUAGUAACCAAAAUAACUGGAGCAUUUAUUUCACAGGGAAUAAUAGGGAUAGGAAAAUGUUUUUGGCUAUUCUCUCCCGGAUUAGGAGUAGAAUACUUUUGGGUGGUUUUGGAGAUGGAAAUGAAUGGAUAGUACUUCCGGAGUAGAAGUAGCAUGUAUGAGUGAACGUGCAAGUGAAUCUUGAUUUAAACACAUGACAAGCUCCUAAGGGUCUACACAGCUUGACCACACUCAAUGCUCAUAAGCAGUAAAAAGUAAAUAUGUGGCUCAAGGUCUAGCAAGCAUGUAUAUAUGGAUGUGGUAGGAAUUUAAACUCUCAUCAUAGAGGAACUCAUCAUGCAACAUUUUAAAGAUUUUCAAAGAUAAAAUUCUCUAGAAUUCUAGCAUCUCUAGGAACAGAUAAACAACAGCUCAACCUUCCCAUAUCGUAUCCGUUAACAACUUGGACUUCAGAUCAAGUUUUCAUCCCACAAGUUUAGGUCUAGAGCAAGCCUUAAAUUAUAACAGUUAUAUCUAAACUUGAGAGAGAACUUCAAAUUUGCAAAUUAGGCAGAGCAACUAUUCAUCAUAUCCGUGCUUAAGUUUUAUUAGAUACAGAUUAGCAUAGCCACUUUAUUUAUUUAUUAAACACACUAAGCAAAAUAUAUAUAAGCAUAAAAUCUUUAUUUGGUUUUUCAUAGUUAUGUGUAUUUAUAUUCUAAUAUAGUAUAAGUAUAAAGAUAGAUAGAAAUACUUAUCGAGAUAAAUGGGGGUGCUCUCCCCCAAGCUGAAUUUUGACGUAAUUUCUCUUGAUGUAGCUAGCAGGUGGCAGAGGUGUGUUUGAAAGUCAGCAGUAUUUUGACAGCGAUUAGAGUGUCCUCCGUCUGCUAGUCUUCUUGAUUCUUAAAUUCUGUGGAGCUCAAAUAGACAACAAAGCUUGUGGAACUGAUUAAGUGUUAUCAUAAAUAUCUAGCCUUUAUCAUGUUGAGACUCCUUAAUAAAUAUUACUCCCUGUUUUUAUAUUUUUGUUUUUAUAAAGCAGAAAAAUAUUUAUUUUAUUUUUAUGCCACCACAGUGAAUGUACUUAUAGGUUUUAUGCCACUCGUCUGCUCACAUGGGGCUUAGAGUUUUUUUCACAUUUUUAUUUUCUUUCUAGGAUAAUACGAACAUGAUUAACUAAGUAAACUAUUUGAAAUAAUUAAAAGGGAAAGGAUAACUACCAAGUUUACCUCUUGGCAAGGCGUUCGGUGUUUUUAAGUCCUCCGAACGGGACUCUCCGUUUUCUCAGUCGUCCUAGGAUUCGCUGGAUGACGUAGUCGGUGAUUCCGGUGGCGCCUCCUUUUCGUGUAUAACUAUCUUCUCUUUCUGACUCGGUGCUACGGUCUCCUCAGGACAUUUCUAUUCAAGCUGUAUGUCUUCAGACCUUAUCAUUUCUCCUUCGUAGUCUACCCAUCCGUCCUUGAUGAUUUGCCUCCUCUGGUUGCGGUUGCGUUGUCUUCUUCUUGUCCUGACCUGCUUAGAAUCUUCAACUAUAUAAUCAUUAAAGUAGUGGCGUACCUUUCUCAGAGGGGAAGUGCAUGUGGACUUCUCCGGUUCCAAUAUAGAUAAUGGCUUUGAUAGUGUUUAGGAACGGUCUUCCAAGGAUGGUGGAUGGAUCAUACUUGUCUUCUCCCAUGUCAAUGACCUGAAAGUUGUUUGAAGCUGAAUGUAUCUUGGUUGUAGGGGCAUGGUUCUAUGCAGGAGCUGAUAAGUGACUGCGGCCAUUAUGUUGUCGUCAGAUCCGGUGUCGUAGAGUGUCUUCUAAAAAGAGUAUCCAUUGUUUGUGCAUUCGAUUCUUGGAACACCAGGGUCGUUCUUCUUAAUCAAGAAAGGUGACUUGAGUCGACGAUCUUGACCUCCUUGAGCUGCAGUGACCAUCUUAGCUGACUCGGUCCACAUUUUCUUGUUCCUUUUCCUCCUGUUGGUCGUCUUCCUUGGUUCAUGUCGGGAUUGCUCUGAAGCUUGUGUAGUCUUGUUCUUGAAGGACACUCUCCUUCUUCCCCUUGAUGUAGAGACUGAUCUUGGCAGCAUUAGCGUAGAUGACUGCUCUGGUGUUUAGGAAUGGCCUCCCUAAGAUGAUGGGUGCUCUCUCCUCACUACCAGUCUCUAUCACCACGAAGUUUGCUGGAGUGUACAAGGUACCAACUCGGACACAGAGGUUCUUCAAUAUUCCUUUGGGAAACUAAGUGUCUGAUCUCCAUUGUGUUUGUGCUCGUAGAUCCCGGUUCUUCAAUUGAUGGAAUCUGGGAGUUGUAAAACGCCUUCACGUUUCUCAAAAUGUGUCCUGCUCAUAGAGACAAGGCAGAGAUCAAGUGCAUGGGCCCUGUUGGUGGAAAAUACCAACAGAACCAAAAGUGUAUUUGUUCUUCUCUAACCUUAAGCAUAGUGAGCAAGACAAAGUUGAUGGAUCAUGAGUGUAGCAUUUAAAACAUUUGUUAGAUCAGAUGGCUCAACCUAAUGGAAAGAUAAUCUAUCUAUAUUUAUGUUUUGUUUAUAUCUUCCAAAGAUUGAAUGUGCAAUACUUUAGCUUAUAUGAUUAGGAGUGUGGGAUCACGAAGGUAGUACUAAGAACAAAGAUUAAAGGACUAAACAUGUUGAAUUAAUUGGGUUGAUUAAUUUGGAGCUACAAAUCAUACAUGUUUGUCUCUUUAUUUUAUGUGAACGCUAGAACCAAGGAGAAGCUUAUAAAAGUGAUAGUCAAGUACCUUAAAAUGUUACCUUACUUGAAGAGUGACGGUAGAGUAUCACCUUGUGGAAGCUUUCCUUUCUUAGCGGUUGUGCAUCGUGUUUGUGGCACCCUCCAUAGAUCAUCUCUUUAUGAUGAAUGAGCUAUGUCCUUCUUGUGCAAAUUGUUAAACUUCAUGUGUCUCCUUUAUCUCCAAUGAGUUUGUAUCUCAGGAUUUCCCAGGUUGAUAUUGAAAGUUUUCCUGCAAGGGUUAGUCCAACAAAAUAUCCCAUAUCUACUAUAGCAUACUAUCGGCUCAAAAAUCAACCUAGACACCAUGUCUAAUUUGAUUUAGGAGGGCAUUUUAACCUAAGCACCAUGCUUAAUUUAAAAAUCCUUUGGAAGUAAGAUCAUCAUUCCUAAACUAAGCACCAUGCUUGAUUUAAGAGAUAAAUGAAACUACUCCAAACCUAGACAUAUACUAAAGCAAAUAAAGGUAGCAUGAGAGCACUUAUAGAGAUCUACUCAAGUGGAGGUGAAGUAGUGUAAUUAGUAUUUAACAAAUUGAGCAUGUCUCAAAGGUAAGGACAACCAACAUAGCAACAUGGCAAAUGAUGUUUUUAUGUAAAGUACUCCCCCAAGCUUGAAUUUUGCAAAAUUCAAGAUUGGAUGAAUUUAAUUCAAUGUUGCAUGAUGAUUGGUUGGACAUACCUUGUGCUUGUCAUUCAUCCGAUAUUCUUGCUCCAAUCCUGGAAAGGUUAGUGACAAGAAUACCCGAAGGAAUAUUUCUACAAUUAUCUCAAUAUGCUCAAUACACAAGGCAAUGUUGCAAAUAAUUAGAAGUUCAUGUUACGAUAUGAUAAGUGCUUGUUUAAGGACGCUAAGCUUAUCCUUGGGAAACCAUCAAGUUAUGUUGGUGAAAUGGUUUCCCCUCCAACACCAACCUAUAUCAAGAUCAACUCAACUAGAUCUGCAAUAUUUAUUAUAGACAUAUGCAUCGACAACCGCUCUUUUAAAGUUGUUCUAAAUAGAAAGGAAGAGAGGGUUGGAGAUCUCAAAUGUGGUAAGGAUGGAGAGACCAAUUGAUUGGGGAGAUGUUUUAUAUGAGCAAGGACUUCGUAAGGUAUUUAUGAAAUAACUUCCAUGCUCACUGUUGUUUCUCUCAUUCUCAAACUCCAAGGAUGAUUCUUCAUGAAUGCUUAAAAUUCCUCUAGGAUUGUCUCUCAAGUUUGUUUUAUCUAUCCAUUCAAUGGUGAUAGCACAUGGAUUUUUAAUGCCCUCUAGCCAUUGAUGUUGCUCUUCUCGAUCCUCCUUCUUAUGCAUGGGAUGUUUAGAGAGAUUGAUAUGAUUAUCGGGAGGUUUAAGAGAAAGAGCAUAGUAGAAUUUAUUAAGCUCAAGGAAGGUGUGGAUAGCCGAAUUAUGGGUUUGAAAUGUUUGGAAAUCGGCUAUUGAAACUUCCUUUCCUCGUCUGGGAGAUGAUUCCUUCUCUAUCUCUAAGAUUUUUCUAUGAAUACUAGUACAAGAAGGAUGCCCACGAAUGAAGACAUACCUUCCUUUACUAAUAGAUAAAGAAAGAAGGACUCUACUAAAGGUUAUAUGAUUAAGACCAAUGUGAAAAUAUCGAGAAAAAACAUGGUCUUGUAGGGCUAGGUCUAAACCAAAAUUUAUAGAAAGAUUAAAAGAUUCCCUAGGUGUAGCUAAAAGUGCAUUAUCUUCUUGAUUAAAAGAUAGGACCUCGGCUAUAGAAAAGGGUUGGUUUUGACCUAUUGCAAUCAACUCCGGACACAGAUCAUAAUUAGGGGUAGGACGUGUUGACUCCCAUGGUCUAUGGCUGGUCUCCGAGGGUGCAAAGAAUUUAAUAAUAGGUAUGGAAUUUGAGUUAUCCAUAAAGAUAAAAAUAAAAAGAUAAAAGAAUAAAAGUAUAAAAGUAUAAUACAAGAUAAUAGCAAGACUCAAAGUUAUCUCAGCAAACCGUCUUUCUCCCCGGCAACGGCGCCAGAAAUGCUUGUUGAUAUUUGGUAACGCAAUUAGAAAAUGAUCCGCAAGCGCACGGAUAUCGGUGAGCAUUUCACCCGGGAGGUUAUCCAGAGUUAUCGUAUUUAUAUUUUUACCACUGGGAGAAAGGGUGCAUCUGACUAACCAAAUCUAUUGCUACUAUCCCUUUAGGCUACAAAGAAUGUCUCUCGAUGUGAGUGAUGUAUAGAGAAGACUGCAACCGUAGUCUCGUUCUAACCUUGGUUAGGAUGAUCUACUGUUCUAUUGGGGAGGCUCACGGAAUCUAGACAACACAAAGGAUGUUCAACCCGCACCUAUAAACCUACCCAUCCUGCUAACGAGAUGUGAUCUACAAAGGUAACUCGGAAAUGUCACGUUCCUCGCUACUACCACGGUCCAGCUAGUCAGGGGAUAUCUAUGAGUACCCUAGCCUAAACACCACAUUUACGCUAACAAGUGAUUACUCUAAUACUCAACCGAAAGAGGAUUAAAGUAAACUCAUAAACCAAAGAACAAUAAAACAAGAACUUACUAGUAUUAGAAGUCGAAUUACUGAAGAAUCUUAGAAGCAAGCCUCGGGUUAGGAGACUUGAUCCCGUAGGUACAACUCGGAGUAGACACCGACAGGCCGGCCUUCCUCCGAUCCACACCUCCACUCUAUCUCUCUCAAUCUAGUAGAAACUAGAAGAUCUAUUUCUACUUUACAUUGGUUGCUAAGCCUAAAAAGAAAUAUUAUUUAGAGAAGAGGUUUUCCUUCGAGGGCACCCCUCAAUCUCUAUGAUAAUUUCUUGUCUCCUCCAGGGGCCAGAGGGGGUCUCCUUAUAUAGUCCUCCCCUUCUAUGUGUUUUUGGGUCGAUAGGCGAGGUGGUACUAUGUUAUUCUGGAUCCAAUAGGUCGGUGGAACGUCGUGUGCGAAGAGAGUCCGGAACGGGGUCCAGAGGUGGGCGGGCGCCCAGGUCCUUAGGGCGGGCGCCCUGGGCCUGGCCCCUUUCGGGCUCCGCUUCCUUCCCGUGGCUUCUGGAGUCUUCUAGAUGGUAAAAAAUUGCGCGGUGGGUUGAUAUCUCUAUGUAAUCCCGACAUGUGGGCCUUUCUUCCGUAUUUCCUAAUAACCCCCUGCAGAAAUAGACAAACACCAAAACUCGUGGAAUUCUGUCAGAUAAAACCCUAAGUCUAGAUGUUGAUUUCAUUUGGAUCCUUUUCUUUGUUUAUUUGAUAAUUAAAUUUGAUACUUAAGGACCGUCAACAAUGCUGAGGAGGACAAGGGUCUCGAGGUAGAUGAUGUUCAGGCUACUGCCGCCAUCCAUCAACACCUUCGAGAGUCUGGCGUUGACGAUGAUGGGGUCGACGACGAGUGGGUAGAUGCUAGGAGCGACUACCUUGUCGGGAUGGUCGCCUUGAUUGAAGGUGAUAGGGGUGUUCGACCAGUUGAGGUACUGGGGCACCGCCAUCCUUGCCGCAAAGACCUCACAGCGCUCCCUCUUGCGCUGCCUUGCAGUUAUCUGCGUCGAGGGUCCACCGUAAAUCAUGUAGCAGUCGUGGACGGCUGGGAAACCCUAGUCUUCUUUGUCGUCCCCCUUGUCGCCGCUUCUUUCUUUCUUUUGGUCGUCCUUCUUAAACCCCAAGUCGUCGAAGUGUCUUUUCAGCAUGCAGCAGUCUUCAAGCCUGUGGUUUGCCCCUCCCUUAUGGUAAGGGUAGGGUUCCUUUAGCAUCUUGUCAAAGAUAGCCCCCUCAGGGGACCCUCGAGGUCUUUUAUGAUCCAUGGCAGCGACGAGAUCGUCGUCGAGGGCCUCCCGUUGGAACGACCGUGCUUUCUUCUUCUUGUUGUUCUUCUUGGGUCCUCGACUGGGGCCCUCAUCAUCAUCGGCUGGCGACUUGCCUUUGCCUCCUUCGCAGCUGAAGAAAGCGCCAACCGCUUCCUCCCCUGCUGCGUAGUUUGCCACUAUGUCCAUUAGCUCGUCGACGGUCUGAGGGCGAUUCCAGCCCAAUUCCCGCACCAAAUCUCGGCUAGUGGUGCCCGAGACAAAGGCUAGGAUGACAUCAUGGUCUGGGAUGUGCGGCAGCUCGGUGCGCUGCUUCGAGAAGCGUCGAGCGUACUCUCAGAGAGUUUCUCCAGAUUUUUGCAUGCACUUGCUGAGGUCCCAUGAGUUGCCGGGCCGUAUGUAGGUCCCCUUGAAGUUACCCUCGAAUACUCUGACCAAAUCGACCCAAACGUGGAUCUGGUUGGCCGGGAGCUCUUCGAGCCAUCUGCGGGCGGUGUCGGAGAGGAAAAGUGGCAACUAUCGGAUGAUGGCUAGAUCAUCCCCUCGGGCGCCUCGCACUUGACAGGCUAGCUGGAAGUCCGCUAGCCACAGUUCAGGCUUGGUUUCACCGUUGUAUUUAGCAAUGCUAGUCGGGAGUCGAAACGGGCUAGGCAGCGGCAUGCUGUGGAUUGCUCUGCUGAACACGCGAGGGCCCGGCGGUUCCAGGGCCAUUCGGUCCUCGUCGCUGUCGUAUCGCCCGCCGCGGUGGGCACUAUAACCGCGCUCCUCUACAUCCCCAUGUCGACGGUGUCAAUACUUGUUGAUGUCGUGUCAUGCGUCGUGUCGCCGUUGAUUAUCGACGGGGUGGUUUUGGACAGGCGCUUUCCUCUUUCCUCGAGGGGGUGGUUGCUGAUGGACCGACACCUCCUUCUCGUUUCGGGCCGGCUCAUCACAUCUCUCGAUGGCUACUCCUCGACGUCGAGAGGGUGAGCUCUCGGCCUGCUGGACCGCCGCCACUUGAAGCAGAGUCUGCACCUCGUCUCGAAUUCGCCGCGCUUGGGAGUUCGAGGGUUUAGGCAUGUUACGUAGCAUCAUUGUUGCCGCCACGACGUUCUGGCCUGCUCGGGGGAAGCGGCUGACGGGUUACUCUGGUUCCCCAUCCCUGACGAUCUGUCGAUGUACCUCUCGAGCUCGUCUGCGGGCACUUCCGCCAGGCGGGUAUGGUUGGUCCUGCUCGAGGAUCUUCUCGAGCUGGACAAGGCGCUCGCGAUCUUCGUCGAGCUUUGCUUUGAGCUCCCGUAGCUACGCAAGUUGCGUGGCUUUGUCUUCCUGCGGCGGGGGGUCGACCUGACCAUCAUUCCCAGGCGUCCUGGGGUCCUCCCUUGCUACAGGGGCUCGACCGCCGAUGAUGGCGUCUGUGUUUCCUCGGUGGUUUCUACCUCCCCGUCGACGUUGAAGCAUUCCCUAGUGGGGUCGUAGCUGUCGGAUUCAGAGUCGAGGUCCGGCUUGGCGGCGUAGAAGCAUCCACGUCUUUCCUCCAGUAGCCGCUGCCUGAGCGAGGUGAUCGUGUGUCGCCCAGGUCCUAGGCGUCAGAGGCCUCGCUCCUAGGAGAAAUCCGGUAACUCAGCCGCUUGCUGCUGCAGCGUCGCAUGGGAGGACCAUUGGUCGCUCCACGUACGUCUAGGCGUUUGGACAUAUCCUCCUGGCGAGCGACGCCGCGGCGUUGUCCAGACCGAAUGGUGGUGCUCUUCUUGAGGUGAAUAACCCGUGCGGAAGUAGCGUUGUGGGGGACGAGAGCGCGUGAGGCGCAUCGUCACCCAUCGUCGUCGCGCGAUCCUCGUGACGUCGGGCCGUGGCACCCGCGGCUUCGGCGCGCGGGGUUGUCGGCUCCUGCGUCACCACCGACCUGGCACGAACCGGUGACUGUGAGGAGGCAGGAUAGCGGCGGCACUGUCCACGCCUCUUCUUGGGCGGGGAGGCAUGGUGGCAAGGCCGUCUUGGAGCCCUCAGUCGUGCGGGCGCAAUGCGAGCUCCUUCCGGUCCUUUGACCGAGAGCAGGAUCAUGUCGUAGCCGAAACUGGUAGACAUGAACUCGAGGCUCCCGAACCAAAUCACCGCGGAGUGUGGAAUCUGUGAAACGAGAGUGGCCAUCUAGAAAGAGAUGGGAAAUCAGCGAAAAAACACGUAGGACCCCUACCUGGCACGCCAACUGUCAGUGUUUUCCCCCCGGGGGUCACACCAACGAGUAAAACUUACAAAGAUUUAUCCUGGUUCGGGCAAGAGAAGGCCCUACGUCCAGCGGGGGGGGGAGAGUGUUUGUAUUAUCUUGCACCUAAGUGCUUGUACAGGGGUGAAUACAAGUUGGUAAGAUGUGGAUGGAUGGAGAUGGAGUAUGGUUGCUCUUCUACGUAUGUCUUGUGUCCCCUAUCCUUUCCUGAGCCUCCCCUUUUAUAGUCCUAACGGGAGACCUAGGUUACAUGCGUAGGUGACAGAGUAGGGGUCGAUAGGAGUGUGGCGCGCUAACCUACUCGAGGCUUCCAUACCGGCGUGGCCUCGAGCUGUCUUGUUACCCAGUACCUGGAUGACGAUUACGCGUGCCACUGAAUCCGGCUUCUGCGUGUCGUCCUAGAUUGGCUCAACCGUGGGCACGCCCGUACGUCGUGGCUACAGUUGCGUCGAGGUGGUUGAGGUGCUGUCUUUCGCCGUCUGACUCUUCUCAGGGAAGGAACACGCUCGCUCGAGGGUCUGAUGCCGUGCAAGGCCUUGCUGACAGGAGCGUUGACUUUGGGCGUCUCGAGGGGGGUCAUGACGAGACAUUCCGUCCGCCUUGCUGUGCCCUGUCAUGCUCUGACUCAUCCGGUGGACAAGGCUGCAAAAAUGGGCGAUUGGAUGGUUGCUUGCUUCCUAUCACGCUUCCCGUGGCUGUCGGGUUAGGUGGGAAUGCAGAAGGACACAUUAAAUGCCCUGGUUCCCGUACCAGCGCCAGGCGGCGGGCGGCGUCCUCGCGCUCGAGGCCUGCCGAUUCGUACGAGCCUGUUUCCGUAUUCGACGGUCACCGUUCGGUCAAGCCCCAGCUGAUUCGCACGACGCUCUUUCCAUGUUCGAGGCCAUGGUUGUUGUCUUGUUUUGACGAGCAUAUAUGCGAUCGGGGGGCGUCGAGUCGGGGGCCUCCAUAUACACACGGGUGCUUUCGUCAUGUCUGUCGGUUAGGGUACCCCUUACUGAUACCCUCGACAAAAGGUGAUAACUUGAAUACUUUGGUCCCCACAAUAGAGAUACGCCCGGAUGCCACGGCCAAGAGGUAUUCACGCGGAACUUGAGAACUCGCCAAGUUUGACUCGAUGAAUUCCUAAGAACUCCUAAGUAAAAAGAAAAUAAGAGAGUUGACGAAGUCGUCGAAAAGUAGAUGCUGGAAUAGAUGUAAAAACUUGUGUUUGAUUGAUUGAAUUGUCUCCUACAUUGCUACUAGGUCUAUAUUUAUACCCUGUCUUAAAAAGUUACAAACAGGUAUGACUAGGAUUCUAAUUCCAAACUAAACGGAAUCCGUAUACAAAACAAACUCUAAUAACUAUGGAAAUCAUUAAUUUAUCUAUCCUAGGCGAUCGGCACACCACCAUCAUCUUCCUGACGAUUCCUACACCUUCCUCCACUAUCAUUGGCAUAUCAUCCUCCAUCGGCAUCGGCAACCGUUAACAUUAGCCAUCGGCACAGAUCAACCAUUAUCCCUGGACUUGGUCAUUUCCUGCUGCUUUAUCAUCGGCAUCAUAACCCAUCGGCAACUCCCUUGUCCACCGGUCAUUACUUCUUCACCUGCCGAUCCAAGUUCUAUUAACUUUCUAGAUAUGUGUCAAAAAAUGGUGUCAAAAAAUACUAGUAAGUCCGUGGUUAUUAUGUUCUUUGGUUUGCGACUCUUAGAGUACUUAGAUUCUUGGUUAUUCUUGGACUAGAGUUGCAUGUCGUGUGUAGACGUGGUGUUUAGACACAAUCGCACAUAGAUAUCCUCCUACUGGCCGGGCAAGGAUAGUUCGCGGGGAGUGACCCAAUCGUCUUGAUGAAUUUAUAGCUUCCUGUCAUGCUAGUUAGGACUGGUAGGACGUAAGAGCUAGUUUAGAGUGCUCUUUGCAAGUACUUUAGCCUAGUUCGUCCCCUCUAGAACACUAUUAGCAUAACUUACCAUAGGUUUGAACUAGAACCCUUGGAUGUCUUCUCAAUAGCCCCUUAGUUCCCUUGUUUCAUACUCAGGGGUUAAGUUUAGCCUUGGUUAGUCAUUGCAUGCUUUCUCCUUGUGGAUAAACAAAUACGAUACUCGAGAUAUCUUUCCCAGGUGAAGUGCUACUUCGGUAUAUUCGUGCGCUUGCAGAUUAUUUCUUUGAUUCUUCUGUAUUGCGUAAUAAAUACCAACAAGCAUUUCUAGCGCUGUUGCCGGGGAGAAAGAUGUCCGUUGAGAUAAGUUAAGACUAAGCUUCACCUUGUAAUAUACUUUUAUCUUUUAUCUUUAUACCUUUUCCUUUUGUUUUCUAUCCUUAUGUAUAUUCAAAAUUCCACUCAUAUAUAUCAGUAUCAUGCACCCAUGAGUGCAAGCCUAGAGCCACUAGAGCCUUUAAUUACCACACCUAGCUAUGAGCUGCGCCCAUGCCUUGUUGCAAUAGGUCAAGACCAACCCAUUUGUAGAACCUAGAUCCUAUCUUUUAUGGAAGGUAAUGAAUCUUUGGCCACAAUCCUAUCUUUUAUGGAGGGUAAUGAACCUGUGUUUACAUAGUGGGAAUGUUUCAAUCUCCUUAUAAAUUUUGGUUCAGACCUAGCAUUACUAACACCCAUGCAUUAUGACCUCAGUCUUAGUAAUGAUUCCAUGAAAUCCCUAGAUAUGACCUUUGGAGUCACUUUCCUUUCUCUAUCUGCUAGUGAAGCAAGGUUUGUCCUUGAUCAUAUAAAUGGGCACACUCCUUGCAUCAUUAAGAAUCACGAUGAACUCUUAGAGGAAGAUAAGGAAUCAACCCCCAAACAAGAAGAGGAAGUUUCGAUAGCCAAAUUAUAACCAUUUGAAUUCCAUAACUUGGCUAUCAAUCCCAAACCAUAUGUACUCCAAAUUCCUUCAAGGGAAGAAGAAAUUCUACCCUUGGACAUGCAUUCUGAUGAUGAGUUUUGGGAGGAGCUUGAUCUUCCUGCUCCAUAAGAGACCUCCAAGUGUAGAUACAUUGAAUCCCCAUAGGAAGGUAUCACUUAAGAAGCAUCUUAAGGAAUAUCUAGAAAGACUCAAGGAUGACAUUUUGAAUGAUGCCAUAGAAGGAGAGCAAAGCCAUCUAGAAGCCACUCAUAUCUCUUCUCCUUCUAUGCCAACACUAGAUACAAAAACUAAACUAAUCUUUAAUACCAUCCUUGUCCUGUAUGAGUCCUCUUGUGCUCUUUCUCUUGAGACUCAUGAUGAUCCUAGUGAUCCACAAAGACAUCCAAAUCAUAGGAUUCAUCAAGACCAUCGAGAAGAACAACAUCAAUGGCUAGUGAGCAUUCAAAACCUAUAUGCUAUUGCCAUUGAGUGGAUGGACAAAGCCAUAGAUGAGACCAAUCCAAGAGACAACAAUGCAAAGAGUUUUGAACAAUCAAAAAAAUCAACACUGGAGUUUGAAAACGAUGGAGACAUCAGUGAGCAUGGAAGCCAUUUAAUAAACACCACAUCUAGUUUUUUCUCAUUUGAGAAAUCUCCUGAUUCAAUUGGUCUCUGCAAUUUUGCCACACAUGAGAUCUUCACCCCCUCACACUUGAUGAUCUAAAAGAUUUAAAGGGGAGGUUGUAGAUACACAUGUCUAUCAUAAAUUUUGUAGAUCUCGUUGUGCUGGCCUUGUCUUGAGAUAUACGCACACAAGUUUGUGUUGGAGGGGAAACCACUUCACCAAAACACAUUUUGAAGGUUUCCCAAGGAUGAAACUUGUGUCCUAAAACAAGCAGUUUUGAGACCAUAACAUGAGUGUUCACCCAUUUGAUCGUAAUACCCUUGCGAAGUGAGCAUAGAGAUAUAAUUGAAAAUAUACCUUCGGGUAUUCUUAUCACUAAUCUUUCCAAGUUUGAGCAAAGAGGACAAAGGAAUGAUGAAUAUAGGUAUGUGCAACCAAUCAUCAUGAAACAUUAAUUGAAUUUGUCCAAUCUUGAUUUUUGCAAAAUUAAAGCUUGGGGGAGUGAUUUCCAUGAAAACAUCUAUUGUUACAUGACCUUGGUUUACGCUACCUUUAAGACAUGCUCAAUUUGCUAAAACACCAAUCAUGCUCUUUCAUCUCCAUUUGUGUAUAUCUCUAUAGCGCUUACAUGCUACCUUUGUCUAUCAUAGUAAAUUUUGGUUUAGAAGUACUGCACAUACUUCUAUUGGCUUUUAAAUUAAGCAUGGUGCUUAGGUUAAGUAUCCUUCUGUAAUCAAAUUAGACAUGGAGUCUAGUUUGGUUAUUGAGCUAAAAACUACUUUAGACAAUGGUAUACUUUGUUGGACUAACCCCUACAGGAAAACUCUUCAAACCAAAUUGGGAAGGUCCUGAGAUGAACUCACUAUAGAGAUGAAGCAAGGCGCAUGAACUUCAACCACUUUGCACAAGGGGAGACAUAGCUAGUAAAAGAGGAGUGCCUACACGAGAGCACUCACUCCAUUGAACAAGGUGAACAGAUUUCCAUUGUGCCAUUGAACACCAUCAUGGAGGAACUCGAGUGCAGUUUUACUCGUAGCCUCUUGUUAACCAUUAAUCAACGGGAAUCAAGAGAAACUGACAUGAGAAGAGCAUGCAACUUUCUGCACCCUCACUUCCUGGAUUGAAAGGUUGAUGCAAGAAGGAAGGACAACUCAUCUAAAGGAUCCAACUGGGUUCUUCCACCUCCCAUGCUCCCAUCACUCCGUCACACUAGUUUGCAAUCUCUCAAUCCACUAUUACUUUAUUUCUUUAAGUUUGAUUUAUUCCACAACUCCCAUAUAUGAAUCAAACAUAAGAUAAAAAGAAAAAAUAUAUAAAAUCAAUCCUCUACAAACAAAGCAAAAGUUGAACUGCUAACAUGAUCAAACAAACUUCAUUGUAGCAUAGAAGGUGACAUUUAGCUGUAUGACAACGCUACCCAUGUUAUCUUUUGUAUAUUCCUUCGGGUAUGUGUCAUCCACUAAUGAUUUGCAGGAAAACAAAAGAAAAAGAGAAAUAGAGAAAAGAAUGGCAUGACAAAAAGGCAAGAAGGAUGGAGUGCAAGGAAAGGGAACAAGUUGUUCGUCAACAAGAUCGAUGACCUACCAAACAAGGGAAGCUACCACAAGGUGCUACGGGAUCAACAAGCUCCAACACUGAAGGUAACACCUCUGGUUAAAUGAUCAUAAUUUUAAAUUCUUUUCCCAUGAUUCUGGUAUGCACAUAAAUGAAGAACCAAAUAUGUUUGAGUUGUAACUUCACUUGAUCCAACUUGAUUAAGUCAACAUGUUCAAUUCUUUAUGUUUUGUUGAUGCAAAAGUAAAUCUGUAAACACAAAGGGCUAAUACCCGAUUUCGAUGUUGAGGCGUGCCAGCCGAUUUGAACUAGCAAUCGACAAAGGUGAUAACUCGAAUACUUUGGUCCUGACAACAGUGAUGCGCCCAGAUGUCACAGCCAAGAGGUAUUCACGCGGAAGUCGAGAAAUUCAUCGAGUAUUGCUUGUUGAAUCCCUGAGAACUCAUAAACAAAACAAAAAUAUGUGAGUUGACGAAGUCAUCAAAAGUAGAUGCAAAAGUAGAUGUAAAACUUGUGUAUGAUAUUAAUUGAUUGUUUUCUUACAUUGCUGCUAGGUCUAUAUUUAUACCCUGACCUAAAGAGUUACAACCGUAUACGACUAGAAUUUAAUUCUUAAACAAAACAAGACUCUUACAUAAGGCAUACUUUAAUAAAUAUGGAAAACAACCAUCUAUCUAUUCCAGUGUCUGCUUCAAUUACGAUGAAACCUUUCAUCGGCUCUGCUUCAUUGGCAUAUCCUUGUUGCCUCCUUAGAAACUUCCACACCUUUCUUCAUCAGCAUCAGCGAUCAUCGACAUCGGCGAUCAAUCGGCAAUGAUCAGUAACUACCGUCUCAACCCUCAGGCCAACGACAUCCUCCACCUGUUAGCCUGUCAUCGGCAUCAUCGGCAAUCGACAAUCUUCUUAUCGGCUUGACACAGCAUUUUCCUGACUACCGAUCAGUUCCUCUUGACCAUCCUGACUUAUGCCUAAAAAUGGUGUCAACACAUGCCCCAAUUUUGGAGAAUAAAAUUAUUAAUGCUCCAAAAUUCUCUCCAGAUAAUUACGACCUUUUCAUAAUCACUUUCCUUUCGGUAAAAAAUUAUUACCAAAUCCAAACAACUUUAAUCAUGACUUCCAUAUCUCAGUAAAUAUCUCAAAUCUUCCAACCAUCCGAGCCGAAUCAUAUAGAAAAACGCUCAUCGACAACUUUUCUGUUAGGAUAGAUUACCAAUGACCGACUAAAAUAUUGUGUACAGUGAAAUGUCCCCAAAAUUAUGAUUAGUUGCCAUCAAAUCACCUGCACAAUCCCUUGAUUAUCGUGCGAACAGUUACCAUAUCCAUCUGAACAACCUCGAAUUUCACGGAUACGGCAAAGAGAUAAGACAAAAUACCCCUACUCAUCUCAACAUAUAAAUACCUCCUUCCUCAGCACUCAUCUUCUUGCGAGUUUAUAUACUUGGCAUUUUCUUCCUAUUUUUUCUGUCCUUUUGAUCCCCAAACUCUAGGAUUUCAGUGAUAAGAUUGUUAUUCCCACUAAGCAACCUCACCUCCAAUGCCUGAGUCCAAUGGGUAAUCCAGAUCCUACUGAUUUAAUCAACACAGAAACCAACAGGAUCCCCUUUAGAGCCAAAAACUUCUCCUUAGAUCUAUGGAAGGAUACUUUCCGAUCCUAGCCAAAACCAACUAAGGGAUGGAAAGAUUGGUUCUUGAGAGUCAGUGGGACAAAUGAAGUGUACUGGGGGAACACAAACUAGACCAAUGCAUCAGACUCUCCAUUGCUGAUAUGGAGAAGAAUGAGUCAAUGAUGAUAGCAGCUUCAUACUUCUGGUUAGACACCCUCAAUGCUUUUAUAUUUGGUCACAGCCCAGCUUCCCCUACACUUUCCGAUGUCCUCAUGCUUACUGACUUGGAUAUCUCAACUGCCGAUGAUGGUGGUAUUUUUUACUAGAAAACUCAGUACAAAGUAGAAACCUGUAACAUUAGUGGCUGGUCGGGAUACAUCUAGAAGUAUCGGCAGACUGGAUCGGUUGGCCAGAGAGAGCAUGCCUUCUUUCUGAACAUGUGGCUAGACAAGUUCAUCUUCUACGGCCGAUCAGUAGGGCCAACUUCUGUUUACCUAUCGGCAGCAGAGCGACUAGCCAAUGGUCAUCGAUUCCCCCUUGGCCGAUACCUUCUGGGCUCUAUCUAUCACCUCCUCUAUCAAGUAGCUGAGAAACUCCUGCUAGGUGAACCCAUCGGCAACCUGGGAGGCCCUUGGUGGUUUAUUAAUGUGUUGCUCAACGACCAUAUGCAUAAACGUCUGCAAUGGGAUUUCUUCACACAACAGUUCCCACGAGACAUUGCUGAGGACUAUGAGCUAGUAGAGGAUGAAUAGGCAACGCGCUCGCCCCUCAAUUAUGGCGAAGCCAUCAUAGUCCUUCCUGGGACCGAUGCAAACGAGAACCAGAUCGGCUGAUUCAUCCAAACAUUUUACAAUGGCCUUUCCAGGGAUCAUCGGGCUUGGAUGCCUUACAAAGACAAAGAAUCUAGAUUUCCACUCACCUUCCAUCCUGCCGAUGACGCACUCAACAAGGAUAAUGACUUGAUGAUGGCAAUCAUCACCCCAAGAGCAAUCCCAGUAAACAACUUCGGCAGUGGGAAGAAUACCAACACAACUUAUGAAUUUUAUAACCCAUCAGCACUAUCUCAUCAACUAGCUUUUGGUCAGUUGCCCAUUAAACUCUGCUAUGCCGAUGUGGUUAAGCCAAGGGAGACAAUAACCAAUGGACUCGAGUGGAUCAGAGUAGCUCAACUCCAGCCAGAUGCCGAUACAACAGAUGUUGAUCUAUCGGCUUGGGUCCUAGCCUCCUUCAUUACGCAAUCAUAUAAGUAUUGGUGGGAAGAAUGGAAAGAACAUAUGUUCAAGGUAUCAGUUCAUAUGUACCAGAACAUGAUCGACCCCAAGCAUGAAAUCCCUAACGACGUUGUUAGUUUUUUCUGAUACUCAGUCCUUUCAUCAGUUUUAACUUUAUUGGCAACUUACUUCUUUAUUUCAACAGGUCGAUGAUCCAGCACCAACAGUGAGCAAAAGUGGGCGGCCGAUCGAUCUUCAUCCAAUAUCUCCAGUCUCUUUGAUUGGCCACAAUGCCCCCAGCCUAGCAGUCCUAAUGCACCGAGGUGUUCGUUUCAAGAAGAUGACCACUAAACGGUCGAAAACCUCUCCAUCGGUAGCUGCUACCACUCUGGCACAAGCUUUCAAGGUAAAUCUUCAAUUUUUUCAUUAUUCUGAUUCCAUCCCAUACUUACAUUAUUUUUUCAGGGUGCAUCGGCUACGACUAGAACGUUAUCGGUAACUUUGCUCCACAUUAGAUACUUUCACUUUUCAAUGAAUUCCAAAAUACUGCUCUGCUCUCAUAUUUAACUUACCGAAUUUUAAAUUUUGUGACAGCAAAUUGGUGCAUCGGCAAAGGCCAAAGGUACUCAAUCGGGUGCCGAUGCCCCCCCCCCAGUCGACGACUAGCCAAGCUCCGCCUAAGAGGAAAGCACCAAAAAGCACCAAGAGUCAAUCGAAGCGGUAGAAAGCAGCACCAUCCUCUUCGCCUCAUCGAGCGCCUCAGACUCAAACAACACCAUCCUCUCCGCCUCAUCCAGCGCCCCAGACUCAAACAGAUCUGGCCGAUGCACCUAAACAGAUCACUGAUCUAGUUGACCAAGGCAUGUCAUCGGCCGUUAUUCCCGAGCAGACCAUCGUUAUUUCCCCUCAAGGUAAAGUAUCAAUCACACAAUUAUUACCGAUGGACCUUUAUAUAAAUACCGUCGUCACCCUUAGUUUUUUCAGUUGAAAGCAUUCCAUCGGCAACUCCGGCCGAUCAGAGCACGGUACAAGUCACAUCUCCAAGCUAGAGGCAAGAAAUUUCUCUGAAACAAGUAAGCCACCCGAACUGCUAGACUUUGUACCAUUCAUACUUAGUUUUUACUAACUCAUCCUCCCCUUUGUUUCUAGGAACAAGAUUCCCCUGAUAGCUUGUUUUCUUUUGCCAUCAACAUUUCUGAUGACGAAGGUGAAGAGGCAAGUUCCUCAUUGGCGCUUGGAAUCGCAUCGACGGAGAUCAAGUCCAAACUAGAAAAUUUACUAGCCUUAUUACAACAAGACACGGCUCAGCUAGUGGAUGACUCUGAUCAGGCCAAGGCUAUCUUGAAGACUCUCCGCGGCUAGAUUCCUGUCGAUACUGAGGAGAUGCUUUUUCAAGCUGCCCACCGGGAGAGCCGUCAACUUCAGUACCAAAAGGCCGUUCAGCGCCUUGCCGAUAGAGCCACGCAUACCUAGCUCAAAGAGGAGAUUCUACAAGUGAAGCACGCCACCGAUGAGAAGCAUAAGAGCAUCGGCAUUUUGCAUCCCUCAGGUGUCGAACUAAAACAGAGAAUCUUUGAUCUAUCGGCAAAGAGAGAGGCUCUGCUCGCUGAACUCAAACAAGUGGAGGAAGCUUUGACCCAGGCCCGACAGGAAGAAAGUCAACUGCCUAACGUGCUCAGAAAUCUUUAGCAAGAGAGGGAUGCCCAAGCUCGCAAGGCACUACAAAUGAAGAAGAAACUGAAACUAGUAGGUUCGGCUGAUGAAGACACCAAAGAGAUAGAAGAAGCUAAUUAGAUCCGUCUACGUGCGAUAUUGGCCAUCCAAGCUCUGCUAAAUAUGUGAACUUCUCCAUCAGCAGCAUGUUUCGUUGGUUCUUUUGAGAACACUAGCAUUUGAUCCAGCUGAUAGGAUUGUUAUCGGCACUUAAUCUCCUUAUGCGUUGAUUCAGAUACACUAAUAUUUUGUCCAGCCGAUAGGAUUGUUAUCGGCACUUAAACGUUUCAUGCAUCGACCAAGAUACUAGGAUAAUAUCUUUUUAAGUAUUUUCCGUUUAAUGCUCUGGGAAAUUCAACUCCUUCGAGUGUCUCCAAAAUAUAUGCAUUGCCAGGAGCAGAUCGACUUAUCCGAUAAGGACCUUCCCAAUUAGGAGACCAUUUUCCAAAUUUUGAACUUUUAGUCCCAAUCGGUAGAAUCAAUUUCCAAACUAAAUCUCCAUCGACAAACUCUUUAGCUUUUACUUUCUUAUCAUACCACUUAGCUACUCUCUUUUUAUUCUCCUCUAUGCUGAUCAAAGCUUUCAACCGAUGCCCUGCCAAAUCCUCCAACUCAUCUUUCAUCAAAAUAGUAUAAUCAUCGGCAGUCAAUUGAUCUUGAGAAAACAUUCACCUAGAACCAGUUUUAACCUCCCAAGGUAGUACCGCAUCAUGCCCAUAUACCAAUUGAUAAGGUGACACUUUGGUUGCACCAUGACAUGCCAUCCGGUACGACCACAAGACUUCAUUUGACAGUGUAUGCCAUCGCCUAGGAUUUUCCUCAUUUUUUCACUUGAUGAGCUUAAUAAUUCCUUUGUUAGAAGCCUCAGCCUGCCCAUUAACUUGAGCAUAACAAGGAGAAGAGUUUAACACUUUAAUCCCCAUACCAAUUGCGAAUUAAUCAAACUCCCUAAAUGUAAACAUGGUACCCUGAUCGGUAGUGAUUGUUUGAGGAAUACCAAAUUAGUAAACAAUAUGCUCCUUCACAAAAUCAAUCAUAUUGGCCGAUGUCACUUUCUUCAAAGGAAUAGCCUCAACCCACUUGGUGAAAUAAUCAGUGGCAACAAGGAUAAACUUAUGCCCUUUACUCGAUGGCGGAUAAAUUUGACCGAUGAGAUCAAUAGCCCAGCCCCAGAAUGGCCAAGGUUUAAUAAUAGGAUUCAUAGCUGAUGCGGGCGCCCUUUGAAUAUUUCCAAACUUCUAACAUCCUUGGCGUCCUUUGAAAUAUUUGAAGCAAUCCUCAAGAAUAGUCGGCCAGUAAUAUCCAUUCCUUCUAAUCAUCCACUUCAUUUUAAAAGCUGACUGAUGUGCUCCAUACACUCCUUCAUGGAUUUCACCCAUCAAUGUUUUGGAUUCAUCAUCACCAAGACAUUGAAGCAGAAUUCCAUCCACAGUACGAUAAUACAGUUCAUCAUCAAGGAGCACAUACUUGGUAGCUUGAAAUCUAAUAUGUCUUUCAACUUUCUUAGAGGGAUCUCUUAGGUAAUUAACAAUUUCUUUUCUCCGAUCAUUGGCACUGAUUGCCGAACACCCCCAAGACGGGUUGAUACCCCAAAGCAUGUUGAGCCAACCGAUUAGCUUCCUCAUUAUGUAAUCGGGGAAUAUGUUCUAAAUGGAAAUCCUUAAAUUCCUUUAAUAACUGUAAACAUCUUUCAUAAUAAGAUAUCUAAAUCUCACUUCGGCAUUCAUAAACCCAAGCCAACUGAUUUAUAACAAGUAUAGAAUCACCGAAGAUUUCAACUACAUCAGCAUGAACUCCCCUCAACAACUCUAAUCCUUUGACCAAAGCUUGGUACUUAGCCUGAUUAUUUAUUGAUGUGGCAACAAUCGGCAAAGAAAAUUCAUACUUCUUUCCUCGAGGAGAAAUCUACACUAUACCGAUGCCUGCCCCCUGAUGACACGUGGACCCAUCAAAGAAAAGCGCCCAAGGAGCAACUUCCAAAGAAUUCACCAAACCGCAAUGUUGAGUAACAAAAUCGGUCAUAAUUUGUCCCUUGACCGCUUUAGCCGAUUCAUAACGUAGGUCAAACUCUGACAAUGCCAAUAUCCAUUUGCUGAUUCUACCACUCAUAAUCAGCAUUGACAACAUGUAUGUGACUACGUCAUCUUUGCAUAUAAUAAUACACUCGGCCGAUAGCAAAUAAUGCCUUAGUUUAGUACAAGAAAAAUACAGACAUAAGCAUAAUUUUUCAAUAGCCGAAUACCUCGUCUCAGCAUCUACCAAUCUCCUACUUAAAUAAUAAAUCACACGUUCUUUCCCCUCAAAUUCUUGAAUAAGAGCUGAACCGAUAACUGUAUCAUCGGUUGAUAAGUACAACGUGAAGGGCUUCCCAUGUUGUGGUGGAACCAACACUGGAGGAUUCGUCAAAUAACUUUUAAUCUCAUCUAACGCCAACUGUUGCUCUUUUCCCCACACAAACUUUUGAUCGGCUAUUUGCUUGAGCAAAGGACAGAAGGCCUUUAUCUUACCCGAUAAAUUAGAUAUAAAUCGCCUAAUAAAAUUGAUCUUGCCGAUCAGAGAUUGGAGCUCAAUCUUAUCGGCAGGAGCGACUACCUUGUUGAUUGCAUCAAUAGACCUCCUACUAAUCUCAAUUCCUCUCUGAUGCACCAUGAAACCCAAAAACUGGCAUGCCGAUACACCAAACGCACAUUUAUUAGGAUUCAUCUUUAAACCAUGCUUCCUUGUGCACUCAUGUAUCUUCCAUAAAUUGGCUAAAUGUUUGAUGAAAUCUCCAGACUUAACCACCACAUCAUCAAUAUAAAUUUCCACCAAAGUGUCAAUGAAUUCAUGGAAGAUAAAAUUCAUGGCCCUUUGAUAAGUAGCACCAGCAUUUUUCAAACCAAAAGUCAUGACUAUCCAUUCAAAUAACCCAACAUGACCAGGACACCUAAAUGAAGUCUUGGGAAUAUCUUCUUCAGCCAUGAAUAUUUGAUUAUACCCUGCAUUGCCAUCCAUGAAGCUAAUAAUCCGAUGUUCGGCCACAGCAUCAAUCAAAAAAUCGGCAACUGGCAUUGGAUAACCAUCCAUUGACGUAGCUUUGUUAAGAUUUCUAAAGUCAAUGCACACACGAAGCUUUCCAUUCUUUUUUUAAACAGGAACAACAUUAGAAAUCCACUCCGCAUACCAACACUGUCGAAUAAACUUAGCUUCGAUGACUUGCGGGUCGCCAACACCAGCCUUGCCCGCUCUCACAGGGAGAUCGAGAGGGCCAACACCGAUUUGGUUGGUCAAAACACUGCUCUAGAGGAGAAGAUUCGUGGUAAGCUUCUUUAUACUUUCACACUUCUUUUUGCAAGGUAUUUUUUGGUGUUGUCUAAUUUCCUCGCAUCGGUCUUUGUAGGGCUUAAGGACGAGCUUCUGGCUGCCCAGGUCGAGGCCCGCUCCGCCAAGGAUCAGCUCGAGGGGGAGGUUGCUUUGAACGGUCGACUAAGGACCGCGAUAAGCGAUCUCUCGGCCUCCUAGGAGCUCGAGCCUGUGGAUGAGUCAAGGGAGGAGGCUCAAGGCGACGCGCUGGUCGAUCAGCUGUGCUACCUAGGCGCCACGCUGAGGGAUCGAGUGCGGGACGCUCAUCAUACCGGGGUGAAGCGGGCAAUGGCGGUUGUCUGCUCAGGCUUUUCCUACGAUAUGGAGGUGGUGUCCCACGGCUUCGUCACCGACAUUUCUAAGACCGACAUAGAGAACGAGGAGAGGCUCCACGCCUUGAUCGACGACGCGGAGGUCCCUGGAGAAAGGAUGGCGAGGCUGUUCGUGCCAGAAGUACUUCCUCCCGAGACUAGCCCGGGUGCGGAUGAUAGUGGUGAGGGCGGAGAUGCGCAUUGAGGCCUGCGAGCCUAUGCUGGGUGUCAAGACCCACUAUAAAGUAUAAGUGAUACAUUGUGCUUUGAAUGGUUUUCUAUGAUUUGUGAAUAUUUGCUUAUUUUUGUGCUCGACAUUCCUUUGUUCCCUCGUUCGGUCUUUUGUUAAGGCGGCCUUGAUUGCCUCAAGGGUGAGGCAGUGAGUAGAGUUACCAUAGCCCGGGGGCAUAGGAGUUCUCAGGCUCGUUGUCUCUCGGCCUUUAAGGGGCUCGAGGUGCCUUUACUACUCGACCGUGCGAGGUUUACUUAUAGGAAAGAAAAAAUCGUUCGGUUUUUAGGAACUUGGGGGGUCCCCCUGCUAGCCCCCGAGGGAGUAUCGAUUAUGAUAGGUCAUAGUUGGCACUCCCUUCUAACGUCGAGACCUUGACCGGCGAAAAAGUAAAUUGCUCGAGGAAAAGAUCUCGUUUAUUCAUGCAUUCAUUCAUAGGAUCUCGGUACAGAAUGUACAUAAAAGCAUAAAACUUUGAAACUCCAGGGGUAGAAUCGACGUAGCUGUUCGAUGUUCCAUGCGUUGGUGAAGACUGCCCCUUUUUCGUCCGCGAGCUUGUACGUCCCUAUCUUUAGAACCUCGGCCACCACGUAUGGGCCUUCCCAGGGUGGGCUCAGCUUGUGGCGUCCUUGGUUGCUUUGCCGUCGCCAUGGGACGAGAUCGUCCACGUUCAGGUCCCUUUUGCGCAUGUGCUUGUCAUGAUAGCGUCGAAGCUUCUGCUGGUACCUGGCGGAGUUGAGGAGGGCCAUGUCUCGAGCUUCCUCGAGCUGAUCGACUGCGUUCUCUCGAGUCUCCUUAUUCAUCUGCUCGUUGUAGGCCUUGAGUCCGGGUGACCCAUACUCAAGAUCCGUUAGAAGCACGGCCUCGGAGCCGUAGACCAUGAAGAAUGGGGUAUAUUUCGUGGCCCUGCUAGGCGUCGUCCUUAAACUCUAUAGGACCGAAGAGAGCUCUUCGACCCAUUUCUUGCCGAAUUUCUUCAACCGGUUGUAGAUUCUUGGCUUGAGCCCCUGCAAUAUCAUGCCGUUGGCACGCUCGACCUGGCCGUUAGUUCAAGGAUGAGCAACUGCAGACCAGUUCACACGGAUGUGAUGCCGGUCACAGAAGUCCAAGAACUUUUUGCCAGUGAACUGGGUGCCGUUGUCGGUGAUGAUGACAUUGGGUAUCCCAAACCGGUGGAUGAUGUCGGUGAAGAAGUGGACGGCCUGCUCAGAGCGGAUGUUCGUGAUGGGUCGAGCCUCGAUCCAUUUGGAGAAUUUCUCCACGGCCACAAGCAAAUGGGUGUACCCUCCUGCCGCUUUUUGUAGAGGGCCUACGAGGUCGAGACCCCACACCGCAAAUGGCCACAUGAUGGGGAUCAUCUGGAGAGCAUGAGCGGGAAGAUGGGUCUGCUUCGCAUAGAAUUGACACCCGUGGCACGAGCGCACGAGCUCUAUGGCAUCAGCUACGGCCGUUGGCCAGUAGAAGCCUUGUCGGAAAGCGUUCCCUACGAGGGUCCGUGGAGCAGCGUGGUGGCCGCAAGCCCUCGAGUGCAGAUCCUCGAGGAGCUUUCGACCUUCUUCUAUGGUGAUGCAGUGCUGUAGGAUCCCGGUCGGGCUUCGUCGAUAUAGUUCGUUGCUUUCGCCGUAGAUCACGUACGAUUUAGCCCGCCGAGCGAUACGGCGGGCCUCAGAUCGGUCUUCUGGUAGCUCACAUCGAAUCAGGCAAUCGAGAAACGGCGUGCGCCAGUCGAACAGUCGACCGGGACGCUGUUCCACUUCCAUCACUUCUGCUGCCGCUAGCAGGGCUUCGAUAGCGUUGGUUGGACGAGGGGCGUUGGUUUCGACGUCAGCUCCCGAGCUCAAGUCGACGGAUGGCUCGUGCAGAUCUCUCGAGAAUGCGUCGGGCGGGACCAUGCCUUGAGUCGAUGCGAUCUUGGCAAGCUCGUCGGCCGCCUCGUUGUAGCGUCGGGCGAUGUGGACGAGCUCGAGGCCAUGGAAUUUGUUCUCAAGUCGAUGUACCUCCUUGCAGUAUGCCUCCAUCUUUGGAUCAUGGCAGCUCGAGGCCUUCAUUACCUGAUCGAUGAUGAGUUGAGAGUCGCCUCGAACGUUGAGGUGCCGAACCCCUAGCUCGAUGGCGAUCUUCAGCCCAUUGACAAGGGCCUCGUACUCUGCGACGUUGUUAGAUGCAGAGAAAUGUAUCCUAAUGACAUACCUCAUAUGGAUGCCGAGGGGUGAGAUGAACAGCAGACCUGCCCCAGCUCCCAUCUUCAUGAGAGAUCCGUUGAAGUACAUCGUCCACAGCUCUGCUUGAACUUGAGCCAGGGGGAGCUGAGAGUCCGUCCACUCCGUGACAAAGUCUGCCAGAGCUUGAGAUUUGAUGGCUUUGUGGGGCGCAUAAGUGAGGGUCUCACUCAUGAGUUUGACCGACCAUUUGGCGAUUCUUCCUUUGGCCUCCCGACUUCAGAUGAUCUCUCCUAAGGGGAAGGACGAUACCACCGUGAUAGGGUGACCAAGGAAGUAGUGUUGCAGCUUGCGUCGAGCGAGGAUCACUGCAUUGAUUAGUUUCUGGAUCUGUGGGUACUGUACCUUGGUUUCUUAUAGCACUUCGCUGAUGAAGUAGACCGGCCUCUGGACUGGCAGUGCAUGUCCUUCUUCCUGUCUUUCGACCACCACUGCAGCACUGACCACCUGGGUCGUUGCAGCAACGUAUAGAAGUAGAGGUUCUGUGGACUGAGGUGGAACUAAGACUAGGGCGGAGGUCAAUCUUUUCUUCAGGCUAUCGAGGGCCUCCUCGGCUUCGAGGGUCCAUGAGAAACGCUCAGCCUUUUUCAAGAGCUGGUACAGCGGCAAUGCCCUUUCCGCUAACCUCAAGAUGAAACGGCUUAGCGCCGCCAAACACCCCGUGACCUUUUGUACCCCCUUGACGUCUCGAAUCGGCCCAUCCUCCCAAUGGCCAAGACCUUUUCGGGAUUGGCCUCGAUGCCGCGCUGGGAUCCCAAGAGCAUGCCUCGAGGCACACCAAAGAUGCACUUCUCGGGGUUGAGCUUGAUUUUGUUGGCGCGUAGACAACCGAAAGCUAUCUCGAGGUCCUGAAUCAGGUCACCUCGUUUCUUCGAUUUGAUGAUGAUGUCGUCGAUGUAUGCCUCGACCGUCGACCCUAUAUGCUCGCCAAACACGUGGAGCAUGCAUCGUUGGUAUGUUGCCCCAUCGUUUCGGAGCCCGAACGGCAUGGUCACGUAACAGUACAUCCCAAAAGGCGUGAUGAAAGAUGUCGCGAGCUGAUCAGAUUCUUUCAUUUUUAUUUGAUGGUAACCAGAGUAUGCAUCAAGGAAAGAAAGGGUUUCACAUCCGAUGCGUGGUAAAGGGAAAGGAACAUUUGGACAUGCUUUAUUUAAACUUGUGUAAUCGACACACAUCCUCAUCUUCCCAUUCUUUUUCUUAACUAAUAUAGAGUUUGCUAACUAGUCGGGAUGGUGAACCUCCUUGAUGAAUCCGGCCGUCAAAAGCUUGUGGAUCUCCUCGCCAAUGAUCUUGCGCUUCUCCUCAUCGAAGCGACGCAGCCGCUGCUUCACUGGCUUGGAACCGGCUCGAAUUUCCAAGGAUUGCUCAGAGACUUCCCUCAGUAUGCCUGGCAUGUCCGAGGGACUCCAUGCAAACAUGUCGGUGUUCACAUGGAGAAAGUCGACGAGCACGACUUCCUAUUUGGGGUCGAGGUCGGCGCUGAUCGUCAGCACCUUGUCGUCGAAGCCGUUGGGGUUGAGCAGGAUCUUCUUUGUGCCUUCUGCCAGCUCGAAGCUGCCCGCAUGACGCUUGGGUUCAGGAGCUUCUGUAGCAAAGGCCUCGAGCUUCGAUGCAAGCUCGGUGGAGCUCUUGACAGCUUCUCCAUACUCGACGCACUCGACGUCGCACUCGUACGCAUGCUCGUAGGAGGAGCUGACGGUGAGGACCCCCUUCGGCCCGGGCAUCUUCAGCUUCAGGUAGGUGUAGUUGGGGAUAGCCAUGAACUUGGCGUAGCUCGGCGCCUGAUGAUUGCGUGGUACGUGCCUCGAAAUCCCACCACCUCAAUGGUGAGAACCUCCUUUCUGAAAUUGGUUGCCGUGCCAAAACAGACCGACAGGUCGAUUCGACCUACCGGCAACACCUUCUUUCCAAGCACGACACCAUGGAAGCCGCCCGCGCUUGGUUGGAGCUGUGUCUUUUUGAGGCCGAGGAGGUCAAGGGUCUCGAGGUAGAUGAUGUUCAGGCUGCUGCUGCCAUCCAUCAGCACUUUCGAGAGUCUGGCGUUGACGAUGAUGGGGUCGACGACGAGUGGGUAGACGCUAGGGGCGACUACCUUGUCGGGAUGGUCGCCUUGAUUGAAGGUGAUGGGGGUGUUCGACCAGUUGUGGUACUGGGGCACCGCCAUCCUUGCCGCAAAGACCUCACAGCACUCCCUUUUGCGCUGCCUUGCAGUUAUCUGCGUCGAGGGUCCGCCGUAAAUCAUGUAGCAGUCGUGGACGGCUGGGAAACCCUCGUCUUCUUCGUCGUCCCCCUUGGCCGCUCCUUUCUUUCUUUUGGUCGUCCUUCUUAAACCCCAGGCCGUCGAAGUGUCUUUUCAGCAUGCGGCAGUCUUCAAGCCUAUGGUUUGCCCCUCCCUUAUGGUAAGGGCAGGGUUCCUUUAGCAUCUUGUCAAAGAUAGCCCCCUCAGGGGGCCCUCGAGGUCUUUUAUGAUCCUUGGCAGCGACGAGAUCGUCGUCGAGGGCCUCCCGUUGGAACGACUGUGCUUUCUUCUUCUUGUUGUUCUUCUUGGGUCCUCGACUGGGGCCCUCAUCGUCAUCGGCUGGUGACUUCCCUUUGCCUCCUUCGCAGCUGAAGAAAGCGCCAACCGCUUCCUUCCCUGCUGCGUAGUUUGCCACUAUGUCCAUUAGCUCAUCGACGGUCUGAGGGCGAUUCCGGCCCAAUUCCCGCACCAAAUUUCGGCUAGUGGUGCCCGAGACAAAGGCUAGGAUGAUGUCAUGGUCUGGGAUGUGCGGCAGCUCGGUGCGCUGCUUCGAGAAGCAUCGAGCGUACUCUCGGAGAGUUUCUCUUGAUUUUUGCUUGCACUUGCUGAGGUCCCAUGAGUUGCCGGGCCGUAUGUAGGUCCCCUUGAAGUUGCCCUCGAAUACUCUGACCAAAUCGACCCAAUCGUGGAUCUGGUUGGCCGGGAGCUCUUCGAGCCAUCUGUGGGUGGUGUCGGAGAGGAAAAGUGGCAACUAUCGGAUGAUGGCUCGAUCAUCGGCUUGGGCGCCUCGCAAUUGAGAGGCUAGCCGGAAGUCUGCCAGCCACAGUGCAGGCUUGGUUUCACCGUUGUAUUUAGCAAUGCUAGUCGGGGGUCGAAACGGGCUAGGCAGCUGCAUGCUGUGGAUUGCUCUGCUGAACACGCGAGGGCCCGGCGGUUCUAGGGCCAUCCGGUCCUCGUCGCUGUCGUAUCGCCCGCCGCGGUGGGCACUGUAACCGCGCUCCUCUACAUCCCCAUGUCGACGGUGACGAUACUUGUUGAAGUCGUGUCGUGCGUCGUGUCGCCGUUGAUUAUCGAUGGGGUGGUUUUGGACAGGCGCUGUCCUCUUUCCUCGAGGGGGUGGUUGCUGAUGGACCGACACCUCCUUCUUGUUUCGGGCCGGCUCAUCACAUCUCUCGAUGGCUGCUCCUCAGUGUCGAGAGGGUGAGCUCUCAGCCUGUUGGACAGCCGCCACUUGAAGCAGAGUCUGCACCUCGUCUCGAAUUCGCCGCGCUUGGGAGUUCGAGGGUUUAGGCAUGUUACGUAGCAGCAUUGUUGCUGCCACGACGUUCUGGCCUGCUCGGGGGAAGUGGCUGACGGGUUACUCUGGUUCCCCAUCCCUGACGAUCUGUCGACGUACCUCUCGAGCUCGUCUACGGGCGCUUCCGCCAGGCGGGUAUGGUUGGUCCUGCUCGAGGAUCUGCUCGAGCUGGACAAGGUGCUCGCUAUCGUCGUCGAGCUUUGCUUUGAGCUCCCGUAGCUGCGCAAGUUGCUUUGCUUUGUCUUCCUGCGGUGGGGGGUCGACCUGACCAUCAUUCCCAGGCGUCCUGGGGUCCUCCCUUGCUACAGGGGCUCGACCGCCGGCGAUGGUGUCUUGUGUUUCCUCGGUGGUUUCUACCUCCCCGUCGACGUUGAAGCAUUCCCUAGUGGGGUCGUAGCUAUCGGAUUUAGAGUCGGGGUCUGGCUUGGCGGCGUAGAAGCAUCCACGUCUUUCCUCCAGUAGCCGCUGCCUGAGCGAGGUGAUCGUGUAUCACCCAGGUCCUAGGCGUCGGAGGCCUCGCUCCUGGGAGAAAUCCGGUAACUCGGCCGCUUGCUGCUGCAGCGUCGCGUGGGAGGACCAUUGGUCGCUCCACGUACGUCUAGGCGUUUGGACAUAUCCUCCUGGCGAGCGACGCCGCGGCGUUGUCCAGACCGAAUGGUGGUGCUCUUCUUGAGGUGAAUAACCCGCGCGGAAGUAGCGUUGUGGGGGACGAGAGCGCGUGAGGCGCAUCGUCACCCAUCGUCGUCGCGCGAUCCUCGUGACGUCGGGCCGUGGCACCCGCGGCUUCGUCGCGCGUGGUUGUCGGCUCCUGCGUCACCACCGACCUGGCACGAACCGGCGACUGUGAGGAGGCAGCAUAGCAGCAGCGCUGUCCACGCCUCUUCUUGGGCGGGGAGGCAUGGUGGUGAGGCCGUCUUGGAGCCCUCAGUCGUGCGGGCGCAAUGCGAGCUCCUUCCGGUCCUUUGACCGAGAGCAGGAUCAUGUCGUAGCCGAAACUGGUAGACAUGAACUCGAGGCUCCCGAACCAAAUCACCGUGGAGUGUGGAAUCUGUGAAACGAGAGUGGCCAUCUAGAAAGAGAUGGGAAAUCAGCGAAAAAACACGUAGGACCCCUACCUGGCACGCCAACUGUCGGUGUUUUCCCCCCGGGGGUCACACCAACGAGUAAAACUUAUGUGUGUGCUCCCCUGUCUAGAUGGUGAUGCAAGAAAGACACAAAAAUUUAUCCUGGUUUGGGCAAGAGAAGGCCCUACGUCCAGCGGGGGCGGAGACUGUUUGUAUUAUCUUGCACCUAAGUGCUUGUACAGGGGUGAAUACAAGUUGGUAAGAUGUGGAUGGAUGGAGAUGGAGUAUGGUUGCUCUUCUACGUAUGUCUUGUGUCCCCUAUCCUUUCCUGAGCCUCCCCUUUUAUAGUCUCAAGGGGAGACCUAGGUUACAUGCGUAGGUGACAGAGUAGGGGUCGAUAGGAGUGUGGCGCGCUGACCUACUCGAGGCUUCCGUACCGGCGUGGCCUCGAGCUGUCUUGUUACCCAGUACCUGGAUGAUGAUUACGCGUGCCACUGAAUCCGGCUUCUGCGUGUCGUCCUGGAUUGGCUCAACCGUGGGCACGCCUGUACGUCGUGGCUACAGUUGCGUCGAGGUGGUUGAGGUGCUAUCUUUCGCUGUCUAACUCUUCUUAGGGAAGGAACACGCUCGCUCGAGGGUCUGAUGCCGUGCAAGGCCUUGCUGACAGGAGCGUUGACUUUGGGCAUCUCGAGGGGGUCGUGAUGAGACGUUCUGUCCGCCUUGCUGUGCCCUGUCUGCUCUGACUCAUCCGGUGGACAAGGCUGCAAAAAUGGGCGAUUGGAUGGUUGCUUGCUUCCUAUCACACUUCCCGUGGCUGUCGGGUUAGGUGGGAACGCGGAAGGACGCAUUAAAUGCCCUGGUUCCCGUACCCGCGUCAGGCGGCGGGCGGCAUCCCCGCGCUCGAGGCCUGCCGAUUCGUACGAGCCUGUUUCCGUAUUCGACGGUCACCGUUUGGUCGAGCCCCAGCUGAUUCGCACGACGCUCUUUCCAUGUUCGAGGCCAUGGUCGUUGUCUUGUUUUGAUGAUCAUAUAUGCGAUCGGGGGGCGUCGAGUCGGGGGCCUCAAUAUACACACGGGUGCUUUCGUCAUGUCCGUCGGUUAGGGUACCCCUUACUGAUACCCUCGACAAAAGGUGAUAACUUGAAUACUUUGGUCCCAACAACAGAGAUACACCCGGAUGCCACGGCCAAGUGGUAUUCAUGCAGAACUUGAGAACUCGCCGAGUUUGACUUGAUGAAUUCCUAAGAACUCCUAAGUAAAAAGAAAAUAAGCGAGUUGACGAAGUCGUCGAAAAGUAGAUGCUGGAAUAGAUGUAAAAACUUGUGUUUGAUUGAUUGAAUUGUCUCCUACAUUGCUACUAGGUCUAUAGUCAUACCCUGUCUUAAAGAGUUACAAACAAGUAUGACUAGGAUUCUAUUUCCAAACUAAACGGAAUCGGUAUACAAAACAAACUCUAAUAACUAUGGAAAUCAUUAAUUUAUCUAUCCUAGGCGAUCGGCACACCACCAUCAUCUUCCUGAUGAUUCCUACACCUUCCUCCACUAUCAUUGGCAUAUCAUCCUCCAUCGGCAUCGGCAACCGUUAACAUCAGCCAUCGGCACAGAUCAACCAUUAUCCCUAGACUUGGUCAUAUCCUGCUGCUUUAUCAUCGGCAUCAUAACCCAUCGGCAACUCCCUUGUCAACCAGUCAUUACUUCUUCACCUGCCGAUCCAAGUUCUAUUAACUUUCUAGAUACGUGUCAAAAAACGGUGUCAAAAAAUACUAGUAAGUCCGUGGUUAUUAUGUUCUUUGGUUUGCGACUCUUAGAGUACUUAGAUUCUUGGUUAUUCUUGGACUAGAGUUGCAUGUCGUGUGUAGACGUGGUGUUUAGACACAAUCGCACAUAGAUAUCCUCCUACUGGCCGGGCAAGGAUAGUUCGCGCGGAGUGACCCAAUCGUCUCGAUGAAUUUAUAGCUUCCUGUCAUGCUAGUUAGGACUGGUAGGACGUAAGAGCUAGUUUAUAGUACUCUUUGCAAGUACUUUAGCCUAAUUCGUCCCCUCUAGAACACUAUUAGCAUAACUUACCAUAGGUUUGAACUAGAACCCUUAGAUGUCUUCUCUAUAGCCCCUUAGUUCCCUUGUUUCAUACUCGGGGGUUAAGUUUAGCCUUGGUUAGUCAUUGCAUGCUUUCUCCUUGUGGAUAAACAAAUACGAUACUCGAGAUAUCUUUCCCGGGUGAAGUGCUACUUCGGUAUAUUCGUGCGCUUGCAGAUUAUUUCUUUGAUUCUUCUGUAUUGCGUAAUAAAUACCAACAAGCUUUUCUAGCACUGUUGCUGGGGAGAAAGAUGUCCGUUGAGAUAAGUUAAGACUAAGCUUCACCUUGUAAUAUACUUUUAUCUUUUAUCUUUAUACCUUUUCCUUUUGUUUUCUAUCCUUAUGUAUAUCCAAAUUCCACUCAUAUAUAUCAGUAUCAUGCACCCAUGAGUGCAAGCCUAGAGCCACAAGAGCCUUUAAUCACCACACCUAGCUAUGAGCUGCACCCAUGCCUAGUUGCAAUAGGUCAAGACCAACCCAUUUGUAGAACCCAGAUCCUAUCUUUUAUGGAAGGUAAUGAAUCUUUGGCCACAAUCCUAUCUUUUAUGGAGGGUAAUGAACCUGUGUUUACAUAGUGGGAAUGUUUCAAUCUCCUUAUAAAUAUUGGUUCAGACCUAGCCUUACUAACACCCAUGCAUUAUGACCUCAGUCUUAGUAAUGAUUCCAUGAAAUCCCUAGAUAUGACCUUUGGAGUCACUUGCCUUUCUCUAUCUGCUAGUGAAGCAAGGUUUGUCCUUGAUCAUAUAAAUGGGCACACUCCUUGCAUCAUUAAGAAUCACGAUGAACUCUUAGAGGAAGAGAAGGAAUCAACCCCCAAACAAGAAGAGGAAGUUUCGAUAGCCAAAUUACAACCAUUUGAAUUCCAUAACUUGGCUAUCAAUCCCAAACCAUCUGUACUCCAAAUUCCUUCAAGGGAAGAAGAAAUUCUACCCUUGGACAUGCAUUCUGAUGAUGAGUUUUGGGAGGAGCUUGAUCUUCCCGCUCCAUAAGAGACCUCCAAGUGUAGAUACAUUGAAUCCCCAUAGGAAGGUAUCACUUAAAAAGCAUCUUAAGGAAUAUCUAGAAAGACUCAAGGAUGACAUUUUGAAUGAUGCCAUAGAAGGAGAGCAAAGCCAUCUAGAAGCCACUCAUAUCUCUUCUCCUUCUAUGCCAACACUAGAUACAAAAACUAAACUAAUCUUUAAUACCAUCCUUGUCCUAUAUGAGUCCUCUUGUGCUCUUUCUCUUGAGACUCAUGAUGAUCCUAGUGAUCCACAAAGACAUCCAAAUCAUAGGAUUCAUCAAGACCAUCGAGAAGAACAACAUCAAUGGCUAGUGAGCAUUCAAAACCUAUAUGUUAUUGCCAUUGAGUGGAUGGACAAAGCCAUAGAUGAGACCAAUCCAAGAGACAACAAUGCAAAGAGUUUUGAACAAUCAAAAAAAUCAACACUGGAGUUUGAAAACGAUGGAGACAUCAGUGAGCAUGGAAGCCAUUUAAUAAACACCACAUCUAGUUUUUUCUCAUUUGAGAAAUCUCCUGAUUCAAUUGGUCUCUGCAAUUUUGCCACACAUGAGAUCUUCACCCCCUCACACUUGAUGAUCUAAAAGAUUUAAAGGGGAGGUUGUAGAUACACAUGUCUAUCAUAAAUUUUGUAGAUCUCGUUGUGCUGGCCUUGUCUUGAGAUAUACGCACACAAGUUUGUGUUGGAGGGGAAACCACUUCACCAAAACAUAUUUUGAAGGUUUCCCAAGGAUGAAACUUGUGUCCUAAAACAAGCAGUUUUGAGACCAUAACAUGAGUGUUCACCCAUUUGAUCAUAAUACCCAUGCGGAGUGAGCAUAGAGAUAUAAUUGAAAAUAUACCUUCGGGUAUUCUUGUCACUAAUCUUUCCAAGUUUGAGCAAAGAGGACAAAGGAAUGAUGAAUAUAGGUAUGUGCAACCAAUCACCAUGAAACAUUAAUUGAAUUUGUCCAAUCUUGAUUUUUGCAAAAUAAAAGCUUGGGGGAGUGAUUUCCAUGAAAACAUCUAUUGUUACAUGACCUUGGUUUACCCUACCUUUAAGUCAUGCUCAAUUUGCUAAAACACCAAUCAUGCUCUUUCAUCUCCAUUUGUGUAUAUCUCUAUAGCGCUUACAUGCUACCUUUGUCUAUCAUAGUAAAUUUUGGUUUAGAAGUACUGCACAUACUUCUAUUGGCUUUUAAAUUAAGCAUGGUGCUUAGGUUAAGUAUCCUUCUGUAAUGAAAUUAGACAUGGAGUCUAGUUUGGUUAUUGAGCUAAAAACUACUUUAGACAAUGGUAUACUUUGUUGGACUAACCCCUGCAGGAAAACUCUUCAAACCAAAUUGGGAAGGUCCUGAGAUGAACUCACUAUAGAGAUGAAGCAAGGCGCAUGAACUUCAACCACUUUGCACAAGGGGAGACAUAGCUAGUAAAAGAGGAGUGCCUACACGAGAGCACUCACUCCAUUGAACAAGGUGAACAGAUUUCCAUUGUGCCAUUGAACACCAUCAUGGAGGAACUCGAGUGCAGUUUUACUCGUAGCCUCUUGUUAACCAUUAAUCAACGGGAAUCAAGAGAAACUGACAUGAGAAGAGCAUGCAACUUUCUGCACCCUCACUUCCUGGAUUGAAAGGUUGAUGCAAGAAGGAAGGACAACUCAUCUAAAGGAUCCAGCUGGGUUCUUCCACCUCCCAUGCUCCCAUCACUCCGUCACACUAGUUUGCAAUCUCUCAAUCCACUAUUACUUUAUUUCUUUAAGUUUGAUUUAUUCCACAACUCCCAUAUAUGAAUCAAACAUAAGAUAAAAAGAAAAAAUAUAUAAAAUCAAUCCUCUACAAACAAAGCAAAAGUUGAACUGCUAACAUGAUCACACAAACUUCAUUGUAGCAUAGAAGGUGACCUUUAGCUGUAUGACAACGCUACCCAUGCUAUCUUUUGUAUAUUCCUUCGGGUAUGUGUCAUCCACUAAUGAUUUGCAGGAAAACAAAAGAAAAAGAGAAAUAGAGAAAAGAAUGGCAUGACAAAAAGGCAAGAAGGAUGGAGUGCAAGGAAAGGGAACAAGUUGUUCGUCAACAAGAUCGAUGACCUACCAAACAAGGGAAGCUACCACAAGGUGCUACGAGAUCAACAAGCUCCAACACUGAAGGUAACACCUCUGGUUAAAUGAUCAUAACUUUAAAUUCUUUUCCCAUGAUUCUGGUAUGCACAUAAAUGAAGAACCAAAUAUGUUUGAGUUGUAACUUCACUUGAUCCAACUUGAUUAAGUCCACAUGUUCAAUUCUUUAUGUUUUGUUGAUGCAAAAGUAAAUCUGCAAACACAAAGGGCUAAUACCCGAUUUCGAUGUUGAGGCGUGCCAGCCGAUUUGACCUAGCAAUCGACAAAGGUGAUAACUCGAAUACUUUGGUCCUAACAACAGUGAUGCGCCCAGAUGUCACGGCCAAGAGGUAUUCACGCGGAAGUCGAGAAAUUCAUCGAGUAUUGCUUGUUGAAUCCCUGAGAACUCAUAAACAAAAAAAAAUAUGUGAGUUGACGAAGUCGUCAAAAGUAGAUGCAAAAGUAGAUGUAAAACUUGUGUAUGAUAUUGAUUGAUUGUUUUCUUACAUUGCUGCUAGGUCUAUAUUUAUACCCUGACCUAAAGAGUUACAACCGUAUAUGACUAUAAUUUAAUUCUUAAACAAAACAAGACUCUUACAUAAGGCAUACUUUAAUAAAUAUGGAAAACAACCAUCUAUCUAUUCCACUGUCUGCUUCAAUUACGAUGAAACCUUUCAUCGGCUCUGCUUCAUUGGCAUAUCCUUGUUGCCUCCUUAGAAACUUCCACACCUUUCUUCAUCAGCAUCAGCGAUCAUCGACAUCGGCGAUCAAUCGGCAAUGAUCAGUAACUACCGUCUCAACCCUCAGGCCAACGACAUCCUCCACCUGUCAGCCUGUCAUCGGCAUCAUCGGCAAUCGACAAUCUUCUUAUCGGCUUGACACAGCAUUUUCCUGACUACCGAUCAGUUCCUCUUGACCAUCCUGACUUAUGCCUAAAAAUGGUGUCAACACAUGCCCCAAUUUUGGAGAACAAAAUUAUUAAUGCUCCAAAAUUCUCUCCAGAUAAUUACGACCUUUUCAUAAUCACUUUCCUUUCGGUAAAAAUUUAUUACCAAAUCCAAACAACUUUAAUCAUGACUUCCAUAUCUCAGUAAAUAUCUCAAAUCUUCCAACCAUCCGAGCCGAAUCAUAUAGAAAAAUGCUCAUCGACAACUUUUCUGUUAGGAUAGAUUACCAAUGACCGACUAAAAUAUUGUGUACAGUGAAAUGUCCCUAAAAUUAUGAUUAGUUGCCAUCAAAUCACCUGCACAAUCCCUUGAUUAUCGUGCGAACAGUUACCAUAUCCAUCUGAACAACCUCGAAUUUCACGGAUACGGCAAAGAGAUAAGUCAAAAUACCCCUACUCAUCUCAACCUAUAAAUACCUCCUUCCUCAGCACUCAUCUUCUACCCUGCCAUUCUUUAUCUCCAUCCUCGCUCUCUCCGGUGGCAACUCUAACGAAAAGCUCAAGAACUCUGGCAACAAGUAACUCCCCUACGGUAAGACUCAUAACUCAAGACCUUCAAAUCCCUGAUCUACCCCGUACUAGAAGAAAUGGCCGUCAACUUCACUGUUCCUGAGGUUACUCCAUCCCCAUCUUCUCUUUCCUUUACUGCAGUUCUUUACAUUCUUGCGAGUUUAUAUACUUAGCAUUUUCUUCCUAUUUUUUCUGUCCUUUUGAUCCCCAAACUCUAGGAUUUGAGUGACAAGAUUGUUAUUCCCACUAAGCAACCUCACCUCCAAUGCCUGAGUCCAAUGGGUAAUCCAGAUCCUACUGAUUUAAUCAACACAGAAACCAACAGGAUCCCCUUUAGAGCCAAAAACUUCUCCUUAGAUCUAUGGAAGGAUACUUUCUGAUCCUAGCCAAAACCAACUAAGGGAUGGAAAGAUUGGUUCUUGAGAGUCAGUGGGACAAAUGAAGUGUACUGGGGGGAACACAAACUAGACCAAUGCAUCAGACUCUCCAUUGCUGAUAUGGAGAAGAAUGAGCCAAUGAUGAUAGCAGCUUCAUACUUCUGGUUAGACACCCUCAAUGCCUUUAUAUUUGGUCACGGCCCAGCUUCCCCUACACUUUCCGAUGUCCUCAUGCUUACUGACUUGGAUAUCUCAACUGCCGAUGAUGGUGGUAUUUUUUACUAGAAAACUGAGUACAAAGUAGAAACCUGUAACAUUGGUGGCUGGUCGGGAUACAUCUAGAAGUAUCGGCAGACUGGAUCGGUUGGCCAAAGAGAGCAUGCCAUCUUUCUAAACAUGUGGCUAGACAAGUUCAUCUUCUACGGCCGAUCAGUAGGGCCAACUUCUGUUUACCUAUCGGCAGCAGAGCGACUAGCCAAUGGUCAUCGAUUCCCCCUUGGCCGAUACCUUCUGGGCUCUAUCUAUCACCUCCUCUAUCAAGUAGCUGAGAAACUCCUGCUAGGUGAACCCAUCGGCAACCUGGGAGGCCCUUGGUGGUUUAUUAAUGUGUUGCUCAAUGACCAAAUGCAUAAACGUCUGCAAUGGGAUUUCUUCACACAACAAUUCCCACGAGACAUUGCUGAGGACUAUGAGCUAGCAGAGGAUGAAUCGGCAACGCGCUCACCCCUCAAUUAUGGUGAAGCCAUCAUAGUCCUUCCUGGGACCGAUGCAAACGAGAACUAGAUCGGCUGAUUCUUCCAAACAUUUUACAAUGGCCUUUCCAGGGAUCAUCGGGCUUGGAUGCCUUACAAAGACGAAGAAUCUAGAUUUCCACUCACCUUCCAUCCUGCCGAUGACGCAGUCAACAAGGAUAAUGACUCGAUGAUGGCAAUCAUCACCCCAAGAGCAAUCCCAGUAAACAACUUCGGCAGUGGGAAGAAUACCAACACAACUUAUGAAUUUUAUAACCCAUCAGCACUAUCUCAUCAACUAGCUUUUGGUCAGUUGCCCAUUAAACUCUACUAUGCCGAUGUGGUUAAGCCAAGGGAGACAAUAACCAAUGGACUCGAGUGGAUCAGAGUAGCUCAACUCCAGCUAGAUGCCGAUACAACAGAUGUUGAUCUAUCGGCUUGGGUCCUAGCCUCCUUCAUUACGCAAUCAUAUAAGUAUUGGUGGGAAGAAUGGAAAGAACAUAUGUUCAAGGUAUCAGUUCAUAUGUACCAGAACAUGAUCGACCCCAAGCAUGAAAUCCCUAACGACGUUGUUAGUUUUUUCUGAUACUCAGUCCUUUCAUCAGUUUUAACUUUAUUGGCAACUUACUUCUUUAUUUCAACAGGUCGAUGAUCCAGCACCAACAGUGAGCAAAAGUGGGCGGCUGAUCGAUCUUCAUCCAGUAUCUCCAGUCUCUUUGAUUGGCCACAAUGCCCCCAGCCUAGCAGUCCUAAUGCACCGAGGUGUUCGUUUCAAGAAGAUGACCACUAAACGGUCGAAAACCUCUCCAUCGGUAGCUGCUACCACUCUGGCACAAGCUUUCAAGGUAAAUCUUCAAUUUUUUCAUUAUACUGAUUCCAUCCCAUACUUACAUUAUUUUUUCAGGGUGCAUCGGCUACGACUAGAACGUUAUCGGUAACUUUGCUCCACAUUAGAUACUUUCACUUUUCAAUGAAUUCCAAAAUACUGCUUUGCUCUCAUAUUUAACUUACCGAAUUUUAAAUUUUGUGACAGCAAAUUGGUGCAUCGGCAAAGGCCAAAGGUACUCAAUCGGGUGCCGAUGCCCCCCCCAGUCGACGACUAGCCAAGCUCCGCCUAAGAGGAAAGCCCCAAAAAGCACCAAGAGUCAAUCGAAGCGGUAGAAAGCAGCACCAUCCUCUUCGCCUCAUCGAGCGCCUCAGACUCAAACAACACCAUCCUCUCCGCCUCAUCCAGCGCCCCAGACUCAAACAGAUCUGGUCGAUGCACCUAAAUAGAUCACUGAUCUAGUUGACCAAUGCAUGUCAUCGGCCGUUAUUCCCGAGCAGACCAUCGUUAUUUCCACUCAAGGUAAAGUAUGAAUCACACAAUUAUUACCGAUGGACCUUUAUAUAAAUACCAUCAUCACCCUUAGUUUUUUCAGUUGAAAGCAUUCCAUCGGCAGCUCCGGCCGAUCAGAGCACGGUACAAGUCACAUCUCCAAGCUAGAGGCAAGAAAUUUCUCUGAAACAAGUAAGCCACCCGAACUGCUAGACUUUGUACCAUUCAUACUUAGUUUUUACUAACUCAUCCUCCCCUUUGUUUCUAGGAACAAGAUUCCCCUGAUAGCUUGUUUUCUUUUGCCAUCAACAUUUCUGAUGACGAAGGUGAAGAGGCAAGUUCCUCAUUGGCGCUUGGAAUCGCAUCGACGGAGAUGUUGAUAUUUGGUAACGCAAUUAGAAAAUGAUCCGCAAGCGCACGGAUAUCGGUGAGCAUUUCACCCAGGAGGUUAUCCAGAGUUAUCGUAUUUAUAUUUUUACCACUGGGAGAAAGGGUGCAUCUGACUAACCAAAUCUAUUGCUACUACCCCUUUAGGCUACAAAGAAUGUCUCUCGAUGUGAGUGAUGUAUAGAGAAGACUGCAACCGUAGUCUCGUUCUAACCUUGGUAAGGAUGAUCUACUGUUCUAUUGAGGAGGCUCACGGAAUCUAGACAACACAAAGGAUGUUCAACCCGCACCUAUAAACCUACCCGUCCUGCUAACGAGAUGUGAUCUGCAAAGGUAACUCGAAAAUGUCACGUUCCUCGCUACUACCACGGUCCAGCUAGUCAGGGGAUAUCUAUGAGUACCCUAGCCUAAACACCACGUUUACGCUAACAAGUGAUUACUCUAAUACUCAACCGGAAGAGGAUUAAAGUAAACUCAUAAACCAAAGAACAAUAAAACAAGAACUUACUAGUAUUAGAAGUCGAAUUACUGAAGAAUCUUAGAAGCAAGCCUCGGGUUAGGAGACUUGAUCCCGUAGGUACAACUCGGAGUAGACACCGACAGGCCGGCCUUCCUCCGAUCCACACCUCCACUCUAUCUCUCUCAAUCUAGUAGAAACUAGAAGAUCUAUUUCUACUUUACAUUGGUUGCUAAGCCUAAAAAGAAAUAUUAUUUAGAGAAGAGGUUUUCCUUCGAGGGCACCCCUCAAUCUCUAUGAUAAUUUCUUGUCUCUUCCAGGGGCCAGGGGGCCUUGCUUAUAUAGUCCUCCCCUUCUAUGCGUUUUUGGGUCGAUAGGCGAGGUGGUACUAUGUUUUUCUUGAUCCAAUAGGUCGGUGGAAUAUCCCGAGCGAAAGAGUCCUGAUUUGGCUCCAACAGGGGGGCGGGCGCCCAGGCUACGAGGGCGGGCGCCCUGGGCCUGGCCCCUUUCGGGCUCCGCUUCCUUCCCGUGGCUUCUGGAGUCUUCUAGAUGGUAGAAAAUUGCGCGGUGGGUUGAUAUCUCUAUGUAAUCCCGACAUGUGGGCCUUUCUUCCUUAUUUCAUGAUAACCCCCUGCAGAAAUAGACAAACACCAAAACUCGUGGAAUUCUGUCAAAUAAAACCCUAAGUCUAGAUGUUGAUUUCAUUUGGAUCCUUUUCUUUGUUCAUUUGAUAAUUAAAUUUGAUACUUAAGGACCGUCAACAAACUCCCCCAAGCUUACCUCUUGCUCGUCCCUGAGCAAGGAUGAACUCAAGAGUUUCUGCAGUGGUUUCAUUUCUUAGAAGUACACACGCAUUUAAGCAAGAUCUCAUCUCUGAGUUAGAAUAAACUGUUAAGACAUAAAACUUACUUACUUUACCUACACCAUAGGACUUGUAACCGUCACUUCUGUCUUGAGUGGUUAAAAGAUAGCACAGUCUAGCCAAGUGCCAUGUCUCUUAUUCUUGAUUAGCUAUAGCUCUGGGGUUUUUGGAGAUUUUCAAAUAAAACUCAGAGAUUCCUUAUAUGACUCUCUCAGAUCUCUCUUUUGUGGUAUUUUUGGAUCCUUACCAAGGCAGUGAUGGUAUAUGCCUUCUCUCAAGAUAUGUAGUAUUUGUGGUAUGAAGCAUAGUGACAUUGUCUUCUCUCUCACCCUACUCUAAUAAGGCUUUAAUAUCUGAAGCUCAUAGGUGGGAGAUAAAGUAUACAUACUUACAAGACAUUUAUUGCAUAGUCAAACCAUGGAUCCAAAGUAACAAAUCAAUAAGCCAAAUCAAGAUGUGCAUGUGUGGCGAAUGAAUGGUGUAUGGUGAUGAUGGUGAUAACAAUGGUGAAAACAAUGGAGGUGGAAGUCUAAUUCUACUUUGCUCUUUGAGGGGAUACAUACCUUCCUUGCUUUUUGAAACUUUAUGAGGAGAAUGAGAUGCUCAUCUUUUUCUUUUCUCUCAGGUGGGUAUCUUGUACCCCUAAUUUCUAAUGUCGGACACUUGUCCAUUUUUACAUCUCGUCUCACUUUUUCUUUUCUUUCGAGGUUCCGAGCACUUGCUCCUUUUUAUUUCCUCGUAUUUCUUUUUUUUCUCUUCUUUUUUUUCAGAGCAUUCAUCUUUUGAGAUAAUAUAGCAAGUGGUAGUAACAAGAUAACUUGAGCAUUUAUUUCACAAGGGGAAACAGAAAUAUUUUUGGUUAUUCUCUCCCGGAUUAGGAGUAGAAUACUUUUGGGUGGUUUUGGAGAUGGAAAUGAGUGGAUAUAUGUGGAUGGUACUUCCGGAGUAGAAGUAGCAUGUAUGAGUGAACGUGCAAGUGAAUCUUGAUUUAACCACAUGACAAGCUCCUAAGGGUCUACACAGCUUGACCACACUCAAUGCUCAAAAGGAGUAAAUAGUAAAUGUGUGGCUCAAGGUCUAGCAAGCAUGUAUAUAUGGCUGUGGUAGGAAUUUAAACUCUCAUCAUACAGGAACUCAUCAUGUGUUAUUUUAAAGAUUUUUCAAAGAUAAAAUUCUCCAGAAUUCUAGCAUCUCUAGGAACAGAUGAACAGCAGCUCAACCUUCCCAUAUCGUAUCCGUUAACAACUUAGACUUCAGAUCAAGUUUUCAUCCCACAAGUUUAGGUCUAGAGCAAGCCUUAAAUUAUAACAGUUAUAUCUAAAUUUGAGAGAGAACUUCAAAUUUGCAAAUUAGGCAGAGCAACUAUUCAUCAUAUCCAUGCUUAAGUUUUAUUAGAUACCGAUUAGCAUAGCCACUUUAUUUAUUUAUUAAACACACUAAGCAAAAUAUAUAUAAGCAUAAAAUCUUUAUUUGGUUUUUCAUAGUUAUGUGUAUUUAUAUUCUAAUAUAGUAUAAGUAUAAAGAUAGAUAGAAAUACUUAUCGAGAUAAAUGGGGGUGCUCUCCCCCAAGCUGAAUUUUGACGUAAUUUCUCUUGAUGUAGCUAGCAGGUGGCAGAGGUGUGUUUGAAAGUCAGCAGUAUUUUGACAGCGAUUAGAAUGUCCUCCGUCUGCUAGUCUUCUUGAUUCUUAAAUUCUGUGGAGCUCAAAUAGACAACAAAGCUUGUGGAACUGGUUAAGUGUUAGCAUAAAUAUCUAGCCUUUAUCAUGUUGAGACUCCUUAAUAAAUAUUACUCCCUGUUUUUUUAUUUUUGUUUUUAUAAAGCAGAAAAAUAUUUAUUUUAUUUUUAUGCCACCACAGUGAAUGUACUUAUGGGUUUUAUGCCACUCGUCUACUCACAUGGGGCUUACAGUUUUUUUCACAUUUUUAUUUUCUUUCUAGGAUAAUACGAACAUGAUUAACUAAGUAAACUAUUUGAAAUAAUUAAAAGGGAAAGGAUAACUACCAAGUUUACCUCUUGGCAAGGCGUUCGGUGUUUUUAAGUCCUCCGAGCGGGACUCUCCAUUUUCUUAAUCGUCCUGGGAUUCACUGGAUGACGUAGUCGGUGAUUCCGGUGGCGCCUCCUCUUCGUGUGUAACUAUAUUCUCUCUCCACACCUGACUCGGUGCUACGGUCUCCUCAGGACAGUUAUGUUCAAGUCGUAUGUCUUCAGUCCUUAUCACUUCUCCUUCGUAGUCUACCCAUCCGUCCUUGAUGAUUUGCCUCCUCUGGUUGCGGUUGCGAUGUCUUCUUCUUGUCCUGACCUGCUUAGAGUCUUCAACUAUAUAGUUAGGGUCAGUAAAACAGCGGCAUACCUUCUCAGAGGAGAAGUGUAUGUGGACUUCUCCGGUUCCAAUAUAGAUGAUGGCUUUGAUAGUGCUGAGGAUCUGUCUUCCAAGGAUGGUGGGUGGAUCAUAUUCAUCUUCUCCCAUGUCAAUAACUUGAAAGUCAUCUAUAGCGGAAUGUAUAUUGGUUGUAGGGGCAUGGUUUCAUGCAGGAGCUGAUAAGUGACUACGGCCAUUAUGUUGACGUCAGAUCCGGUGUCGUAGAGUGUCUUCGGAAAAGAGUAUAUGUUGUUUGUGCAUUCGAUUCUUGGAACACCAGGGUCGUCCUUCUUGAUCAAGAAAGGUGACUUGAGUCGACGAUCUUGACCUCCUUGAGCUGCAGUGACCAUCUUAGCUGACUCGGUCCACAUUUGCUUGUUCCUGUUCCUCCUGUUGGUCCUCUUCCUUGGUUCAUGUCGGGAUUGCUCUGAAAUUUGUGGUCUUGUUCUUGAAGGAAAGUCUCCUUCUCUCCCUUGAUGUAGAAACUGAUCUUGGCAGUAUUAGCGUAGAUGACAGCUCUGGUGUUUAGGAAUGGCCUCCCUAAGAUGAUGGGUGCCCUCGCCUCAGUACCAGUCUCUAUCACCAUGAAGUCUGCUAGAGCAUACAAGGUACCAACUAGGACGCAGAGGUUCUUCAAUAUUUCCUUUUGGAAACUGAGUGUCCGAUCUGCAACCUUGGGCAUAAUGUUGACGCUCGAGCCAAAGUCGGAGAGUGCUUCUGGGAAGUCCACCAUGCCGAUGGAGAUCGGGAUGACGGGACGUCCUAGAUCACCUCUCUGAGUAAUUAGGCCUCUGUUGAUUCCAACCUUGAUGUUGUUGAGGACGGUUGUAGUAAUAGUUGUUAUUGUUGUUGAUGUAGUUCACGUCCUCAAGCAUCUUAGGGCAGUGAUUGCCUGAGCGUCCAGUAUCUCCAGUGUGUUUGUGCUCGUAGAUCCUAGUUCUUCACUUGGUGGAAUCUGGGAGUUGUAAAACUCCUUCAAAUUAUGCUCGAAGUGUUCCUGCUCAUAGAGACAAGGUAGAGAUCAAGUGCAUGGGCCCUGUUGGUGGAAAACACCAACAGAACCAAAAGUGUAUUUGUUCCUCUCUAACCUUAAGAAUAGUGAGCAAGACAAAGUUGAUGGAUCAUGAGUGUAGCAUUUGUCAGAUCAGAUGGCUCAACCUAAUGGAAAGAUAAUCUAUCUAUAUUUAUGUUUUGUUUAUAUCUUCCAAAGAUUGGAUGUGCAAUACUUUAGCUUAUAUGAUUAGGAGUGUGGGGUCACGAAGGUAGUACUAAGAACAAAGAUUAAAGGACUAAACAUGUUGAAUUAAUUGAGUUGGUUAAUUUGGAGUUAUAAAUCAUACAUGUUUGUCUCUUUAUUUAUGUGAAUGCCAGAACCAAGGAGGAGCUUAUAAAAGUGUUAGUCAAGUACCUUAAGAUGUUACCUUACUUGAAGAGUGAUGGUACAGUAUCACCUUGUGGAAGCUUUCCUUUCUUAGCGGUUGUGCAUCGUGUUUGUGGCACCCUCCAUGAAUCAUCUCUUAUGAGCUACGUCUUUCUUGUGCAAAUUGUUAAACUUCAUGUGUCACUUUCUUCAUCUCUAAUGAGUUUGCAUCUCAGGACUUCCCAGGUUGUUAUUGAAAGUUUUCCUACAGGGGUUAGUCCAACAAAAUAUACCAAUAUCUACUCAAGUAGUUUUUAGUUCAGUAACCAAACUAGACUCCAUGUCUAAUCAGAUUAAGGAAGGCUAUUUAACCUAAGCACCACGCUUAAUUUAAAUGCCAUUGGAAGUGUGACCAGUACUUCCAAACUAACACUUACUAGGAUAAACAAAGGUAGCAUGAUGGCUUUUAUAGAGAUCUACUCAAGUGGAGAUGAAGUAGUGUGAUUAGUAUUUAACAAAUGGAGCAUGUCUCAAAGGUAAGGACAACCAACAUAGCAACAUGGCAAAGGAUGUUUUAUGUAAAGUACUCCUCCAAGCUUGAAUUUUGCAAAAUUCAAUAUUGAAUGAAUUUAAUUUAAUGUUGCAUGAUGAUUGGUUGGGCAUACCUUGCGCUUGUCAUUCAUCCGAUCUUCUUGCUCCAAUCCUAGAAAGGUUAGUGACAAGAAUACCCGAAGAAAUAUUUCUACAAUUAUCUUUAUAUGCUCAAUACCCAAGGCAAUGUUGCAAAUAAUUAGAAGUGCUUGUUUUAGGACACUAAGCUUGUCCUUGGGGAACCAUCAAUUAACUCAACGAGAUCUGCAAUAUUUAUUAUAGACAUAUGCAUCGACAACCACCCUUUUAAAGUUUUUAUAAAUAGAAAAGAAGAGGGGGUUGGAGAUCUCAAAUGUGGUAAGGAUGGAGAGACAAAUUGAUUGGAGAGAUGUUUUAUAUGAGCAAGGACUGGGUGAGGUAUUUAUGAAAUAACUUCCAUGCUCACUGUUGUUUCUCUCAUUCUCAAACUCCAAGGAUGAUUCUUCAUGAAUGUUUAAAAUUCCUCUAGGAUUGUCUCUCAAGUUUGUUUUAUCUAUCCAUUCAAUGGUGACAGCACAUGGAUUUUUAAUGCCCUCUAGCCAUUGAUGUUGCUCUUCUCGAUCCUCCUUGUUAUGCAUGGGAUGUCUAGAGAGAUUCAUAUGAUUAUCGGGAGGUUUAAGAGAAAGAGCAUAGUAGAAUUUAUUAAGCUCAAGGAAGGUGUGGAUAGCCGAAUUAUGGGUUUGAAAUGUUUGGAAAUUGGCUAUUGAAACUUCCUUUCCUUGUCUGGGAGAUGAUUCCUUCUCUAUUUCUAAGAUUUUUCUAUGAAGACUAGUACAAGAAGGAUGUCCACGAAUGAAGACAUACCUUCCUUUACUAAUAGAUAAAGAAAGAAGGACUCUAGAAAAGGUUAUAUGAUUAAGACCAAUGUGAAAAUAUUUAGGAAAAACAUGGUCUUGUAGGGCUAGGUCUAAACCAGAAUUUAUAAAAGGAUUAAAAGAUUCCCUAGGUGUAGCUAAAAGUGCAUUAUCUUCUUGAUUAAAAGAUAGGACCUCGGCUAUAGAAAAGGGUUGGUUUUGACCUAUUGCAAUCAACUCCGGACACAGAUCAUAAUUAGGGGCAGGACGUGUUGACUCCCAUGGUCUAUGGCUGGUCUCCGAAGGUGCAAAGAAUUCAAUAAUAGGUAUGGACUUUAAGUUAUCCAUAAAGAUAAAAAGAUAAAAGAAUAAAAGUAUAAAAGUAUAAUACAAGAUAAUAGCAAGACUCAAAGUUAUCUCAGCAAACUGUCUUUCUCCCCGGCAACGGUGCCAGAAAUGCUUGUUGAUAUUUGGUAACGCAAAUAGAAAAUGAUCCGCAAGCGCACGGAUAUCGGUGAGCAUUUCACCCGAGAGGUUAUCCAGAGUUAUCGUAUUUAUAUUUUUACCACUGGGAGAAAGGGUGCAUCUGACUAACCAAAUCUAUUGCUACUACCCCUUUAGGCUACAAAGAAUGUCUCUCGAUGUGAGUGAUGUAUAGAGAAGACUGCAACCGUAGUCUCGUUCUAACCUUGGUAAGGAUGAUCUACUGUUCUAUUGGGGAGGCUCACGGAAUCUAGACAACAAAAAGGAGGUUCGACCUGCACCUAUAAACCUACCCGUCCUGCUAACGAGAUGUGAUCUGCAAAGGUAACUCGGAAAUGUCACGUUCCUUGCUACUACCACGGUCCAGCUAGUCAGGGGAUAUCUAUGAGUACCCUAGCCUAAACACCACGUUUACGCUAACAAGUGAUUACUCUAAUACUCAACUGGAAGAGGAUUAAAGUAAACUCAUAAACCAAAGAACAAUAAAACAAGAACUUACUAGUAUUAGAAGUCGAAUUACUGAAGAAUCUUAGAAGCAAGCCUCGGGUUAGGAGACUUGAUCCCGUAGGUACAACUCGGAGUAGACACCGACAGGCCGGCCUUCCUCCGAUCCACACCUCCACUCUAUCUCUCUCAAUCUAGUAGAAACUAGAAGAUCUAUUUCUACUUUACAUUGGUUGCUAAGCCUAAAAAGAAAUAUUAUUUAGAGAAGAGGUUUUCCUUCGAGGGCACCCUUCAAUCUCUAUGAUAAUUUCUUGUCUCUUCCAGGGGCCAGGGGGCCUUGCUUAUAUAGUCCUCCCCUUCUAUGCGUUUUUGGGUCGAUAGGCGAGGUGGUACUAUGUUUUUCUUGAUCCAAUAGGUCGGUGGAAUAUCCCGAGCGAAAGAGUCCUGAUUUGGCUCCAACAGGGGGGCGGGCGCCCAGGCUACCAGGGCGGGCGCCCUGGGCCUGGCCCCUUUCGGGCUCCGCUUCCUUCCCGUGGCUUCUGGAGUCUUCUAGAUGGUAGAAAAUUGUGCGGUGGGUUGAUAUCUCUAUGUAAUCCCGACAUGUGGGCCUUUCUUCCUUAUUUCAUGAUAACCCCAUGCAGAAAUAGACAAACACCAAAACUCGUGGAAUUCUGUCAGAUAAAACCCUAAGUCUAGAUGUUGAUUUCAUUUGGAUCCUUUUCUUUGUUUAUUUGAUAAUUAAAUUUGAUACUUAAGGACCGUCAACAAGAGAUCAAGCCCAAACUAGAAAAUUUACUAGCCUUAUUACAACAAGACACGGCUCAGCUAGUGGAUGACUCUGAUCAGGCCAAGGCUAUCUUGAAGACUCUCCGCGGCUAGAUUCCAGCCGAUACUGAGGAGAUGCUUUUUCAAGCUGCCCACCGGGAGAGCCGCCAACUUCAGUACCAAAAGGCCGUUCAGCGCCUUGCCGAUAGAGCCACUCAUACCUAGCUCAAAGAGGAGAUUCUACAAGUGAAGCACGCCACCGAUGAGAAGCAUAAGAGCAUCGGCAUUUUGCAUUCCUCAGGUGUCGAACUAAAACAGAGAAUCUUUGAUCUAUCGGCAAAGAGAGAGGCUCUGCUCGCUGAACUCAAACAAGUGGAGGAAGCUUUGACCCAGGCCCGACAGGAAGAAAGUCAACUGCCUAACGUGCUCAGAAAUCUUUAGCAAGAGAGGGAUGCCCAAGCUCGCAAGGCACUGCAAAUGAAGAAGAAACUGAAACUAGUAGGUUCGGCUGAUGAAGACACCAAAGAGAUAGAAGAAGCUAAUUAGAUCCGUCUACGUGCGAUAUUGGCCAUCCAAGCUCUGCUAAAUAUGUGAACUUCUCCAUCAGCAGCAUGUUUCGUUGGUUCUUUUGAGAACACUAGCAUUUGAUCCAGCCGAUAGGAUUGUUAUCGGCACUUAAUCUCCUUAUGCGUUGAUUCAAAUACACUAAUAUUUUGUCCAGCCGAUAGGAUUGUUAUCGGCACUUAAACGUUUCAUGCAUCGACCAAGAUACUAGGAUAGUAUCUUUUUAAGUAUUUUCCGUUUAAUGCUUUGGGAAAUUCAACUCCUUCGAGAGUCUCCAAAAUAUAUGCAUUGCCAGGAGCAGAUCGACUUAUCCGAUAAGGACCUUCCCAAUUAGGAGACCAUUUUCCAAAUUUUGAACUUUUAGUCCCAAUCGGUAGAAUCAAUUUCCAAACUAAAUCUCCAUCGACAAACUCUUUAGCUUUUACUUUCUUAUCAUACCACUUAGCUACUCUCUUUUUAUUCUCCUCUAUGCUGAUCAAAGCUUUCAACCGAUGCCCUGCCAAAUCCUCCAACUCAUCUUUCAUCAAAAUAGUAUAAUCAUCGGCAGUCAACUGAUCUUGAGAAAACAUUCACCUAGAACCAGUUUUAACCUCCCAAGGUAGUACCACAUCAUGCCCAUAUACCAAUUGAUAAGGUGACACUUUGGUUGCACCAUGACAUGCCAUCCGGUACGACCACAAGACUUCAUUUGACAGUGUAUGCCAUCGCCUAGGAUUUUCAUCAUUUUUUCACUUGAUGAGCUUAAUAAUUCCUUUGUUAGAAGCCUCAGCCUGCCGAUUAACUUGAGCAUAAUAAGGAGAAGAGUUUAACACUUUAAUCCCCAUACCAAUUGCGAAUUAAUCAAACUCCCUAAAUGUAAACAUGGUACCCUGAUCGGUAGUGAUUGUUUGAGGAAUACAAAAUUAGUAAACAAUAUGCUCCUUCACAAAAUCAAUCAUAUUAGCCGAUGUCACUUUCUUCAAAGGAAUAGCCUCAACCCACUUGGUGAAAUAAUCAGUGGCAACAAGGAUAAACUUAUGCCCUUUACUCGAUGGCGGAUAAAUUUGACCGAUGAGAUCAAUAGCCCAGCCCCAGAAUGGCCAAGGUUUAAUAAUAGGAUUCAUAGCUGAUGCGGGCGCCCUUUGAAUAUUUCCAAACUUCUGACAUCCUUGGCGUCCUUUGAAAUAUUUGAAGCAAUCCUCAAGAAUAGUCGGCCAGUAAUAUCCAUUCCUUCUAAUCAUCCACUUCAUUUUAAAAGUUGACUGAUGUGCUCCAUACACUCCUUCAUGGAUUUCACCCAUCAAAGUUUUGGAUUCAUCAUCACCAAGACAUUGAAGCAGAAUUCCGUCCACAGUACGAUAAUACAGUUCAUCAUCAAGGAGCACAUACUUGGUAGCUUGAAAUCUAAUAUGUCUUUCAACUUUCUUGGAGGGAUCUCUUAGGUAAUUAACAAUUUCUUUUCUCCGAUCAUCGACACUGAUUGCCGAACACCCCCAAGAUGGGUUGAUACCCCAAAGCAUGUUGAGCCAACCGAUUAGCUUCCUCAUUAUGUAAUCGGGGAAUAUGUUCUAAAUGGAAAUCCUUAAAUUCCUUUAAUAACUGUAAACAUCUUUCAUAAUAAGAUAUCUAAAUCUCACUUCGGCAUUCAUAAACCCAAGCCAACUGAUUUAUAACAAGUAUAGAAUCACCGAAGAUUUCAACUACAUCAGCAUGAACUCCCCUCAACAACUCUAAUCCUUUGACCAAAGCUUGGUACUUAGCCUGAUUAUUUAUUGAUGUGGCAACAAUCGGCAAAGAAAAUUCAUACUUCUUUCCUCGAGGAGAAAUCGACACUAUACCGAUGCCUGCCCCCUGAUGACACGUGGACCCAUCAAAGAAAAGCGCCCAAGGAGCAACUUCCAAAGAAUUCACCAAACCGCAAUGUUGAGUAACAAAAUUGGUCAUAAUUUGUCCCUUGACCGCUUUAGCCGAUUCAUAAUGUAGGUCAAACUCUGACAAUGCCAAUAUCCAUUUGUCGAUUCUACCACUCAUAAUCAGCAUUGACAACAUGUAUGUGACUACGUCAUCUUUGCAUAUAAUAAUACACUCGGCCGAUAGCAAAUAAUGCCUUAGUUUAGUACAAGAAAAGUACAGACAUAAGCAUAAUUUUUCAAUAGCCGAAUACCUCGUCUCAGCAUCUACCAAUCUCCUACUUAAAUAAUAAAUCACACGUUCUUUCCCCUCAAAUUCUUGAAUAAGAGCUGAACCGAUAACUGUAUCAUCGGUUGAUAAGUACAACGUGAAGGGCUUCCCAUGUUGUGGUGGAACCAACACUGGAGGAUUCGUCAAAUAACUUUUAAUCUCAUCUAACGCCAACUGUUGCUCUUUUCCCCACACAAACUUUUGAUCGGCUAUUUGCUUGAGCAAAGGACUGAAGGCCUUUAUCUUACCCGAUAAAUUAGAUAUAAAUCGCCUAAUAAAAUUGAUCUUGCCGAUCAGAGAUUGGAGCUCAAUCUUAUCAGCAGGAGCGACUAUCUUGUUGAUUGCAUCAAUAGACCUCCUACUAAUCUCAAUUCCUCUCUGAUGCACCAUGAAACCCAAAAACUGGCAUGCCGAUACACCAAACGCACAUUUAUUAGGAUUCAUCUUUAAACCAUGCUUCCUUGUGCACUCAAGUAUCUUCCAUAAAUUGGCUAAAUGUUUUAUGAAAUCUCCAGACUUAACCACCACAUCAUCAAUAUAAAUUUCCACCAAAGUGUCGAUGAAUUCAUGGAAGAUAAAAUUCAUGGCCCUUUGAUAAGUAGCAACAGCAUUUUUCAAACCAAAAGUCAUGACUAUCCAUUCAAAUAACCCAACAUGACCAGGACACCUAAAUGAAGUCUUGGGAAUAUCUUCUUCAGCCAUGAAUAUUUGAUUAUACCCUGCAUUGCCAUCCAUGAAGCUAAUAAUCCGAUGUUCGGCCGCAGCAUCAAUCAACAAAUCGGCAACUGGCAUUGGAUAACUAUCCAUCGGCGUAGCUUUGUUAACAUUUCUAAAGUCAAUGCACACACGAAGCUUUCCAUUCUUUUUGUAAACAGGAACAACAUUGGAAAUCCACUCAGCAUACCAACUGUCGGUGUUUUCCCCACGGGGGGUCACACCAACGAGUAAAUUUGUAUGCGUGCUCCCUUUCCCAGAUGGUGAUGCGAGAUGACACUGAGGUUUAUCCUGGUUCGGGCAAGAGAAAGCCCUACGUCCAGCGGGGGAGGAGAGUUUGUAUUAUCUCGCACCUAAGUGCUUGUACAGGGGUGAAUACAAGUGCGGUAUGAAGUGUGUGAGCUCUACUGCAUAUGAUCGUGGUGUUGUGCGUUCUAUUCCUGAGUUCCUCCUUUUAUAGCUCCAAGGAGAGACCCAGGGUACAUGUAUAGGCGCCAGAAUAAGAGUCGAUAGCAGCAUGGGGCGCUGACCUACUCGAGGCUUCCGUACCGGCAUGGCCUCGAGCCGUCCCGUCUUGAUAGCCUGGUGAUGAUUACGCGUGCCCCUGCAUUCUGCUCUGCGCGCCGUCUUGUGUUGGUUCAACGGUCGCACGCUUGUACGGUAUGGCGGCAGAUCCGGUGGGGUGGUUGUGGUGUUAUCAGUCGACGCCCAACUCGUCCCCAGGAUGGAACCCCGUUCGGUCGAGGGCCGGACGCCGUGUAAUGUGCCGAUGUCUGGAGCGCUGACCUUGGAUGUCUCGAGGGGGUCCCGAUUAGACGUUCCAUCCUUAUUUCCUGCGUCCUGACACGCCCUAGGUUGUUUGGUGGGAAAGCUGCAAAAAGAACGAUGGGACAGAUGCCUGUUCCCUAUCACGCCUCCCGUGACCUGUGUGUUAGGUGGGGAAGCGUCAGGCGCAUUUAAUGUCCCGGCUCUCGUGCGCGCGUCAGGCGGCAGACAGUGUCCUUGCGCUCGAUGCCUUCUGAUUCGCUUGAGCCUGUUUCCGUAUUCGAUGGUAGUCAGCACUCGACCCCCAAGUGGUUCGCUCGACGUUAUUUCCAUCUUCGAGGCUGCAGCCGUCGAUUGCUGCGCACAUGUGUGACCAGAACGUCGAGUUGAGGGCCUCGACUUGCGUAUGGAUAAUCUUGAUAGGUGCAUCGGUGAGGGUACCUCUUACUGAUACCCUCGACAGUAGCCCCCGAGUCUCCAUUCGAGCGCUGGCGCUCGAGUGGAGGCUUUACUUUUGCGGUCGAAUUUCUGUGGGGGCGCGCGAGCGACCCCGCGGGGGUAGCCCCCGAGCCCUCGAGGGAGUUUUUAACUCCUUCGAGGGUUAUUUUGCCUAAUUUGCAGAAACGCUGUCGACACCAGUGUUGGAAGGUUCUGAUCGGCUUUGCCUUGUGAGGAGGUCUCGACGUACUCUCGGUAGAGCGAGCGUCUUCCACCCCAGAUUGAGUUCCUAGCGGGUAAUCCAAGUGAGAACCUGUGCCCCUUUCGAGGAAGUCAGCUGUAGCCCGGAGGCGUUCUCAUAAAGCAGGGUCGACGUGGUCGGGGAUACCGGUCUCAUUCGAUAGAGUCCAGCGGCUCGAUGCCUCCCGUCGGGCGGAUUCCUCUCGACUGUCUCGACCCUACCUUGGACAUCACCAGCGAGUCUUCGAGGCGGGCCUCGAUCUUCGACUGCUCGCUGGGGAUCCCUGACUCUGGUGCUCGAGAUCGGCUGUCGAACCCUUUCGGUGGGCCAGCCAUCGACCUCUCGAGACUCUCGCGGGUACGCCCCUUGGCCUACAAGGGAAGGAGGUGGCCGUGGCGGUUCGCCUUUUUUGCCCGUUGGGCGCGCCUUUUCAGGUGGGUGACGUUACAACACUGCGUCGGCGUGGAAUUCGGAGCGCCCCGCCUGUGAGGGGAAAGAGAUUGUUAGGUGGCGCAUUUAUGGGGGGAGUUACCUUAUUUCUCGGAUCCGUCCGUUGGUGGAUUGCUGCCUAUAAAUACGCCGUGGCGCCACCGCCGUUCUUUCUUCCGCCUCCUAUCUUCACUCUUGCCUUAGCCUUUUUGCCGUCUUAGCUUUCUCGCCGUCUCACACGCCCACGCCUCCUCGAGCAGUAGCGGAUCCACCGUCCUUCCAGCCGAGAUGCCUGUGAGACUCGUUGCCGCCGACGACUGGUGCCCGUCGUCGAUGACGGAGCGCCGGUUGUUAGAGCUUGAGAGAGAGGGACUGCUGCGCCGCCGCACCUCGCUAUCGUCGCCCGAGUGGAUCGCGCCGCCGGCGAACCACAGGGAGCCCCAACCGCCCGAGGGCUACGUGGUGUCAUUCGCCAAAUUCCACCUCCACGGCCUGGGUGCUCCUCCGAGCCGCUUUAUGCGGGCACUUUGCUUCCACUACGGGGUGGAGCUCCAACACUUCUCCCCGAAUGCCAUCACCGUCACGGCGGUCUUCGCCACCGUGUGUGAGGGCUACUUGGGGAUGAUGCCGCACUGGGAGCUGUGGCUCCACCUCUACAGGGGCGAACUUUUCCACACCCCCACCGGAACCACGGGCGUAAGGAAGCCCAUGCGGGCGGGAUGCCUCAAUCUUGUGCAGAAGACGGGGAAGACGGACAGGCCGCGGGAGUACAUCACGGUAGGGUUAUCGACCAACCACGCCGGCUGGGACUCUCAGUGGUUUUACCUACAGAACGACGACAACCUCCUGCCUUCCUACUCGGGUCGUCUGAUCAUGGAGCGUCCAGCGGACUAGACAUACGGCGUCGUCCAAGCUCACCAAUCUCGGCUCGACCCCCUCCUCGACGUCCUGAAGAAGCUUCGCCAGGAGGGUUUGACCGCCGCUCUCGUCCUCUCAACCGUCCAUCACCGGAGAGUUCUCCCAUUGAUGUCUCGACCGUUGAGGAUGGACGAGAUGGGACCUGGCGUCUCAUCUCGAGACCUCGAGGCGUGCCGGAUGUCCAACGAGGCUCCGGCGGACGACGAAGUCGCGGCCCGAGUCAGGGCUGCAAUUGCCGGUGAUUUUCAGCCGGAGCAUGUUAACGGCUUCCCCAUGAGGCCAGACGCAGGCUCGAUCGAUCUGGUAUGGUUUCUUCUCGCGCGCAGCCUCGAUUCUGGGUUUCCUUUCUUCCCCCCCUUUUUUUUCUAAGUCUACCUUUGUUUUGGCAGGGACGGAUUGAUGUCCGAUCCUCGAGGCCUUCAGUAAAGGAGGACGAGGUCGAUCGCGACAAGCGGCGCCAAUCUUCCGAAAAGCUAAAAUCCGCCAAGGACUCUGCAAAGAAGGGGGAGAAGAAGAAGAACCUCGACCGCCAAGCAUUAGAGGCGCGUCGAGCCAAAUCCAGGCAGAGGGGGGAGCCUGAGGAAGAAUCCCCCAACGACGACGAUGAUGACGACGAGGACAGCGACGACUCUGAGGGGAUGGCGUCACGCCUUGACCGAAUCCUCGAGGGUCCACCUCGAGGCGACGUCGAUGCCCCCCGGACGGAGACUCCAAAGGAGGGUCCGAGCGGUUCUCACCGCCCUCGGGCCGAUAUGCCUCCUGCGCCCAAGGCUGGUCAAGUCGCGCCGCGCCCUCCCCCGGCGCUCAGGGAAAGCGGUCAUGCUAGGCCCCAGGCGACGGGGCCACUGACUCGCGGUCGUGCCGCGGCCUCCGAGAAAGGAGAGGCCGGCCGCAGGAGCGCCAGUCCCAACGCCCGCCAGGCGGGAACUGUCGCGCCAAGGCCAGCGCCUGCCUUCGAGGGGCCUGGGGCCCUGACGUGGGGUGGCUCGAGGCCCGCCGGUCGGGGCGGCGGUAGGCGAGCUGUUCUCCCUGUGGGGUAAGCUUUUUCGACAUUGUGGCUUUUGUCUUCCUGCUCCUAUGCACUUUCUCAUAUGCCGAUCUUCUCCGGCGCUCAUCUGUUUCUUUUCUCAGGCUAAAGCGGACCCUCGAGCAGGCCCAGCCGUCCAUGGCAAAGAGGCUCAAAGCGGGAGCUGCCUCCAAGGAGCCAGGUUUGUGGUUUACUUUUGGGAUUUGUGAUGUUCUUGUGCUAGCCAUCGCAGUCACCGGCCUUUAUUUUUUGUUUUGCAGGCUCCUCCGACUCCCAACCUCCAGCCGGCGUUGAGAAUGCUCCGCCUCGUCCUGUGCCUACCCCGUCGCCGCCGACGUGUGGCGAGGCACCCCAGACGCAAGUGCCAGAGGGAGCCCCCGAGCCUCCUCUAUUGGGGGUCGAGGGGGAACCCAUCACCAUCAGCGAUACAUCUGAUGGUAACGAAGCGUCUGGGGUGCCCGCCCUAUGGAGGAGGAAACGUCGACCUCCCACGUCGCGGGACGGACUCCCUGGCCCGCUGGCCUUCGAGCCCUCGAAGAGUAGAAGGAGAAAGAGAAGGAGGGGGAGGAGCGGGAGCGUGAGGCGACGCGGCCGCCACAGGAGCAGGAGCAGCAAACGCCCGAGGGGCUUCAACAACAGUAGCAGCAGAGGGAACAACAGCAGCAGCAGGAGCAGGCGGGCCAAGAGGAAAGGCCGCUCGAGCCCCUACCUCAAGGUCUGGCCCAACCGGUGCCACCGGCGCCGCAAGAGCCCGGCGAUCAGGAGGAAGAUUUGCCGGUGUACGGCCCUCCCACCCCGGCGUGGCUCCUCCCGGGGGCGCCUACCGCGAUCCGGGCAGAGUCGGGGCGAGCGGAUGGAGUGGUGGCGCUCGCCUGUAUGAUGCGCACCCCCAUCGACCCCGAGUCCGAGAUCAAGAGGACGAUCUACGGCAUGGACGGGAUCGCCCCUAGGUUCCUUCGGGAGCGUCGAGCGUGGGAGGACCGCUUUCCCUCUGAGGAGGAUGAGAUCGGAUCACCCCUGGGUUCCUCCGGGAGCGUCGAGCGUGGGAGGACUGCUUUCCCUCCGAGGAGGAUGAGAUCGGGUCGUCAGGGAGCAAGGACGGUACCUGGAAGACGGUUGACGACGACGGGCGGUUCCCAUGCCUUGUCGACCUGUUCUUGCACCACGGGGGCUCCCUCGAGACCGUUGAGAACCUUAUCCGUGGUGUCAAGGCGCGGGCUGAUCGAGAGAUGGAGAACUGGUGCCCCGAUCGGAUUCGUAUCCGGGCUUCCACCGAUCCGUCCGAGCCCAACAUCUUCCUCGACGACAAGAAGGAGGCCGAGAAGUGGGAACAUGUCGAGGAGCUCCGCCUUUGGAUGAAGCACAUGGUGGGGCUCUUGUCGGACAUCAUCAACAACGGGCUCGGGCCUGCUUAUUUUGUAAGUGUCUUUCGAUCUUUGAUCUCCAUGGAGCCCUUUGGUUUUGUUCUCUAACUGUUCGUCCACCGGCUCGCAGGAUAUGAAGGAGACCUCCCGCAUCAAGUCGAGCUUCAUCCACGCCACGCGAGGCGGCUGGGAGCAGCUCCCCGUCCUCAAGGAUCAACUCCUCGAGUCGCAGGAGAAACUCCUCAAGGCUUAUAAAGACCUCAUAGCGCUCGAGGAGGAGAAGAAGGCGAGGGAGGCUGCCUUGGUAGAGGCUCAAGAGGCCUCGAAGAAGGCAGAGGAGGAGACGACGCUGCUGCGGGAGUGGGCUCUGACGGUCGAGGAGGCUGCAUCCAGAGCCCGGGAGGAGGCCCUGUCCUACAAGAACGUUAUUGCGGACCUGGACAAGGAGAAGGGCCUUCUCAAGACCGACCUAGACUCCCUCCGAGAGUCCUUCCAGAAGAUGAAGGUGGAGCACGUGAACGGCGAGAUCGCCAGGAGCGCCGCGGAGGACGCCAAGAAGAAGGCCCUAGAAGAUCUCGAGGCGGAGCGUGCUCAAUCCCGCAAGCUCUCUGACGACGUCGAACAUCUGAAGGGAGAACUGUUGGAGAAGAGUGGGGCCAUCGCUCAGGCUGGCAAGGUGAUCGAGGAUCUCCGCGUCGCCAACACCGAGCUGGCCUGUUCCAACAGAGAGAUCGAGAGGGCCAACACCAGAUUAGUCGGCGAAAACACGGCCCUGGAGGAGAGCGUCCGCGGUACGUUUCCUUUGUCGGGUUUCUUUUUCGAGGUGUGCUCAGUUUUUCCUAAAGUUUCUUGUAUUGGCGUUUGCAGGGCUUAAGGACGAACUCCUAGCCGACCAAGUCGAGGCCCGUAAUGCCAAGACCCAGCUCGAGGCUGAGGUUGCUUUGAACCGUCGAGUGCGGAUGGCGAUAAGCGACCUCUCGGCCUCCUGGGAGGUCGAGCCUAUGGAGGAGUCGAGGGAGGACGCUUGAGGCGACGCACUGGUCAACCAGCUGUGCUACUUAGGCGCGACGCUGAGAGAUCGAGUGCGGGACGCCCUCCACAUCGGGGUGAAGCGGGCGAUGGCAGUUGUCUGCCCGGGCUUCUCCUAUGACAUGGAGGUGGUGUCCCACGGCUUCGUCACCGACAUCUCCAUGACCGACGCGGAGAACGAAGAGAGGCUCCAUGCCUUGAUCGACGACGCGGAGGCUCCUGGGGAAAGGCUGGCUAAGCUUUUUGAGCCUGAGGUGCUUCCUCCUGAGACUGGCUCGGGCGCAGGCGAGGGUGGUGAGGAUCGUGCCAUGGACUGAGGCCUGCGAGCCUGCGCGGGGUGCCUGGGGCCCCUUGUAUAAUACUUUGUCAAUAUGCUUUUUGAAUGAUACAGUAUCUUUUUGUAAUUGCUAAAUGUUUAUUUGUCUUUCCGCUCGAGGUUCUUUUAUUUCUCUUUGCGCCUACGUUUGUAUUCCUUGUUCGAUCUUUCGUAAAAAACAAACUCGAUCGUCUCAAGGGUGAGGAAGUGAGUAGAGUUUCCGUAGCCCGGGGGCGUAGGAGUUCUCAGGCUCGUUGUCCCUCGACCUUUGAGGGGCUCGAGGUGCCUUAGCUACUCGAAUCGUGUAAGGUUUACUAAGUAGGAAGAGAAAAUUUCUUGGCUUUUUCGACGUAUGGGGGGGGGUCGUCCCCCUGGUAGCCCCCGAGGGGGUGUUGACUAUGAUAGGUCAUAGUCGGCGCCCCCUUCCAAUGUCGAGAUUAUGACUUGUAAAUCCUUGGUACAAAAAGAAAUUGCUCGAGGGAAAGACUUCAUUUAUUCAUGCAUUCGUUUACAGAGUCUUGGUACAAAAUGUACGUAGGAACGUAAGUUUUGAACUUUUAGGGGUAGAAUCAACGUAGUUGUUCGAUGUUCCAUGCGUUGGUGAAGACCGCCCCCUUCUCGUCCGCUAACUUGUACGUUCCUGGCUUCAAGACCUCGGCCACUACGUACGGGCCUUCCCAUGGUGGGGUCAGCUUGUGGCGUCCUUGAUUGCUCUGCCGUUGUCGUAGGACAAGGUCACCCACGUUUAAGUCCCUCUUUCGUACGUGUUUGUCAUGGUAGCGUCGAAGCUUCUGCUGGUAUCUGGCAGAGUUAAGGAGGGACAUGUCUCGAGCCUCCUCAAGCAGGUCGACAGCACUCUCUUGAGCUUCCUUAUUUGACUGCUUGUUGUAUGCCUUGAGUCGAGGAGAUCCAUACUCGAGGUCCGUUGGGAGCACGGCCUCAGAGCCAUAGACCAUGAAGAACAGGGUGUAUUUGGUGGCCCGGCUUGGCGUCGUCCUCAGACUCCAUAAGACCGAGGAAAGUUCCUUGACCCACUUCUUGCCGAAUUUCUUCAGGCGAUUGUAGAUCCUUGGUUUGAGCCCUUGCAAGAUCAUGUCGUUGGCACGCUCGACCUGGCCGUUAGUUCGAGGGUGAGCCACCGCAGACCAGUUCACACGGAUGUGAUGCUGAUCGCAGAAGUCCAAGAACUUUUUGCCAGUGAACUAGGUGCUGUUGUCGGUGAUGAUCACGUUAGGGAUUCCGAAUCGGUGUAUGAUGUCGGUGAAGAAGAGGACGGCUUGUUCGGAGCGGAUAUUGGUGAUGGGUCGAGCCUCGAUCCAUUUGGAGAAUUUGUCAACGGCCACGAGUAAGUGGGUGUAACCCCCUUUUGCCUUUUGUAGAGGUCCUACUAAAUCGAGUCCCCAUACCGCAAAUGGCCAGGUGAUGGGGAUCAUCUGAAGAGCGUGGGCGGGCAGAUGCGUCUGUUUGGCGUAGAACUGGCACCCAUGACAUGAAUGUACAAGCUCGAUGGCAUCUGUCACGGCCGUUGGCCAGUAGAAACCUUGUCGAAAGGCGUUCCCUAUGAGGGUCCGUGGAGCUGCAUGGUGGCCGCAAGCCCCCGAGUGUAUGUCCUCGAGGAGUUUUCGGCCUUCUUCUAUGGUGAUGCAACGCUGCAGGACCCCCGUCGGGCUUCGUCGGUAUAGCUCAUUGCCUUCGCCAUAAAUCACAUAUGACUUGGCCCGUCGAGCGAUACGGCGGGCCUCAGAUCGAUCUUCUGGCAGCUCGCAGCGGAUUAGGCAGUUGAGGAACGGUGUACGCCAGUCGAACGGUCGACCGGGUCGCUGCUCUACCUCCAUCACCUCUGCUGCCAUCAGUAGUGCAUCGACGGUGUCGGUUGGCUGGGCGGGAGCGGCAUCGACGCCAGCCCCCGAGCCCAAGUCGACGGAUGGCUCGUGAAGAUCUCUUGAGAACGCAUCAGGUGGCACCGUGCCUUGAGUCGAUGCGAUCUUGGCGAGCUCGUCGGCUGCCUCGUUGUAGCGUCGGGCGACAUGGACGAGCUCGAGACCAUGGAACUUGUCCUUGAGUCGACGAACUUCUUUGCAGUACGCCUCCAUUUUUGGGUCGUGGCAGCUCGAAGUCUUCAUCACCUGGUCGAUGACGAGUUGGGAGUCGCCUCGGACGUCGAGGCGUCGGACUCCUAGCUCGAUGGCAAUCUUGAGACCGUUGACGAGGGCCUCAUAUUCCGCGACGUUAUUAGAUGCGGCAAAAUGAAUCCUGAUAACAUACCUCAUAUGGGCGCCCAAGGGUGAGAUGAACAGCAGGCCGACCCCGGCCCCUAUUUUCAUGAGUGACCCAUCAAAAUACAUCGUCCACAGCUCCGCCUGGACCUGAGUCGGGGGAAGCUGGGAGUCUGUCCAUUCCGCGAUGAAGUCUACCAGGGCCUGCGACUUGGUAGCCUUGCGAAGCGCAUAAGUGAGCGUCUCACUCAUGAGCUCGACCGACCAUUUAGCUAUUCUUCCCGUGGCCUCCUUGCUCUGGAUUAUUUCGCCUAAAGGGAAGGACGAGACCACCGUGAUGGGGUGGUCGAAGAAUGUAGUGUUGCAGCUUACGGCGGGCAAGGAUUACGGCGUAGAUCAGCUUCUGGAUUUGGGGGUAACGUGCCUUGGUCUCCGAAAGCACUUCGCUGACGAAAUAGACUGGCCUCUGGACUGGUAGCGCAUGUCCCUCCUCCUGCCUUUCGACCACCACUGCUACGCUGACGACUUGGGUCGUCGACGCAACGUAGAGGAGCAGCGGUUCUGCAGGUUGAGGUGGGACCAGGACUGGUGCUGAGGUCAGCGUCUUCUUCAGCUUUUCGAGCGCUUCCUCGGCCUCGGGGGUCCAAGAAAAGCGCUCGGCCUUCUUCAGAAGUCGAUACAACGGCAACGCCUUUUCUCCUAGUCUUGAGAUGAAACGGCUCAGAGCCGCCAGGCAUCCCGUGACUCUUUGCACACCCUUGAUGUCCCGGAUCGGCCCCAUUCUUGUGAUGGCCGAGACUUUCUCGGGGUUGGCCUCGAUGCCGCGCUGCGAAACAAUGUAGCCCAAGAGCAUGGCUCGAGGCACGCCGAAAACGCAUUUCUCGGGAUUGAGCUUGAUUUGGUUGGCGCGUAAACAGCUAAAAGCGAUCUCGAGGUCCUGGAUCAGGUCCCCUCGCCGUUUUGACUUGACGACAAUGUCGUCGACAUAGGCCUCGACUGUCGACCCUAUGUGUCCACCAAAUACGUGGAGCAUGCAGUGUUGGUAUGUAGCUCCCGCGUUUCGAAGCCCAAAUGGCAUGGUUACAUAGCAAUACAUCCCAAAAGGUGUGAUGAAAGAGGUCGCGAGCUGGUCGGACUCUUUCAUUUUUAUUUGAUGGUAACCGGAAUACGCAUCAAGGAAAGAAAGGGUUUCACAUCCCGCAGUAGAAUCGACGAUCUGAUCAAUACGUGGUAAUGGAAAAGGAACUUUUGGACAUGCUUUAUUUAGACUUGUAUAAUCGACACACAUCCUCAUUUUCCCAUUCUUUUUCUUAACUAAUACAGGGUUUGCUAACCAGUCGGGAUGAUGAACCUCCUUGAUGAAUCCGGCCGUCAAAAGCUUGUGGAUUUCCUCGCCAAUGAUCUUGCACUUCUCCUCGUCGAAUCGGCGCAACGGCUGCUUCACUGGCUUGGAACCGGCUCGAAUAUCCAAGGAGUGCUCGGCGACUUCCCUCGGUAUGCCUGGCAGGUCUUGCUCAAGGAUUUGCUCAAGCAGGACGAGGCGCUCACAGUCUUCGUCGAGCUUCAUCUUGAGCUCUCGUAGCUGUGCAAGCUGCGUAGCUUUGUCUUCCUGUGGUGGGGGGUCGACCCGCCCGUCGUUCCCAGGCGUCCUGGGGUCUUCCCGUGCUGCAGGGGCUCGACCGCCCGCUGUAGCAUCCUGCGUCUCGUCGGUAGUUUCUACUGCCCCGUCGACGUGAUAGCAUUCCCUCGUUGGGUCGUAGCUAUCAGUCUCGGAGUCGGAGUCCGGCUCGGCGGCGUAGAAGCAUCCACGUCCCUCCUCCAGCAGCCGUUGCCUGAGUGAGGUGAUCGUGUAUCGCCCGGGGCCUAGGCGGCGGAGGCCUCGCACCUGGGAGAAAUCCGGCAGUUUGGACGUCGGUCGUAGUGUCUCAGGGUCACGUGGGAGGACCAUUGGUAUCUCCACGUACGUCUGAGCAUUUGGGCAUAUUGCUCUGGCGAGCGACGCCGCGGCGUUGUCCAAUCCGAAUGGCAGUGCCCUUCUUGGAGUGAACAACCCGUGUGGAAGUAGCUCAGUAGCGGUGGGGGAGGGCGCGUGAGACGCGUUGCCUCCCGUCGUCGCGUGAUGUUGAGCCGUCGUGCCCGCGGUUCUGGCACAUGGUGUUGCCGGCUCGCAGCCCACCUCCUGCCUCGCACGAGUUGCCGGUCGUGAUGAGGCAGAGGGGCGGCGGUGGUGCUGUCCGCGCCUCUUCUUGGGUGGGGAGGCGUGGUGGCGAGGGCGUCUUGGGGCCCUCAACCGAGCUGGUGCCACGCGGGCUCCUCCCGGUCCUUUGACUGAGAGCAAGAUCAUGCCGUAGCCGGAGCCCGUAGACAUGAACUCGAGACUCCCAAACCAAAUCACCGUGGAGCGCGGAAUCGGUGAGGCAAGAGCUGCCAUCUGGAAAGGAGAGGGAAACCGAUGAAAAAACACACAGGACCCCUACCUGGCGCGCCAACUGUCGGUGUUUUCCCCAUGGGGGGUCACACCAACGAGUAAAUUUGUAUGCGUGCUCCCUUUCCCAGAUGGUGAUGCGAGAUGACACAGAGGUUUAUCCUGGUUCGGGCAAGAGAAAGCCCUACGUCCAGCGGGGGAGGAGAGUUUGUAUUAUCUCGCACCUAAGUGCUUGUACAGGGGUGAAUACAAGUGUUGACGGUCCUUAAUGCUCAUAUUUAACCAUCAAUUAAUCAUAGAAAAGGAUCCAAAUGCAACCAACACCUAGACUUAGGGUUUUAUCUGACAGAAUUCCACAAGUUUUGGUGUUUGUCUAUUUCUGCAGGGGGUUAUCAGGAAAUUUGAAAGAAAGGCCCACACGUCGGGUUUACAUAGAGAUAUUAACGCGCCGCGCAAUUUUCUAUCAUCUAGAAGACUCCAGAAGCCACGGGACCGAAGCGGAAGCCGAGAGGCCUCAGGGACAGGGCGCCCGCCCUAGUCCUGAGGGCGCCCGCCCACCUCUUUCCACCAAUCAGGGUGAAGUUCGAGGAUCAUGCUCCACCGACCUAAUACUUCAAGGAAAACCACACGAUCAAUGUCGGUUUGAUCCGACGACCCAGAUUCACUUGAAGGGACUAUAAAACCAGACCCCCCUGGCCCCUGGAGAUCAUACCUCUUCUACAGAAUCAAAGUUAGGGUUUCAAUUCUUCAUCCAAGUAGAGAGGAUCCCUCUAGUUCUUCUAGUUCUACCUCUAGUUCAUCUAGAUCUAGUUCUAGUUCAUAUAGUUCUAGUUCUAGUUCUUCUAGUUCUAGUUCUAGUUAGUUCUAGUUGUAAUCUAGAAAAUAGGGAGAGAGAAGAGGAGAGCGGAGGAGGAGCCGGAUCUGUCGGAUCUUCCUUAACAUUAUACUUUUGCAGCAUCUGGUUCGUUCUUCAUCGUUCUCCAGGUUCUUCAAUUCAUAAUUCCUGAGUUCUUUAAUUACUUUUAUUUACAUUCAAGUUAUUUAUUGGAUUCCUGCUUGCAUCAAGUGCUCUAGUCUUUAUAACGCUAGAGUAGUAAUUAAUAGAUUACACGUGGUGUUUAGUCUUGCAAUUACCUGGAAUUGCACCCAAUCCUACGGAUUGUUGUGGUAGCCUUAGGGUAGUGACAGCCCUAACGGUCGACGUAUUCCACCACGUUCGGAUCGGUGUUUGUAGGACCGUAGUCGGAGCUUCCUAGCCCCCUUCUCAUCUCUUUCUGUGGUUAGUGUUCUGAUGUCCCGAAAUAGAUAAUCUUGAAGUAAUUCUUGAUUCUUAGAUCAAUUAGAGAACUCUCAGGAAACUUCCUCUCUUCCCACCAAAAAUAAUUAUAUAGUUAUCCUUGGGCGAUCUUGGAUCGUAAUUAGUACACUCACGUUCCCUGUGGAAAAUCGAUACUCUGGAAUACUCCCGGGUGAAGGCUACAUCGGUAUCCGUGCGCUUGCGGAUUUUUCUGUUUGCGUUUAAAAUACCCAACAAGCUUUCUGGCGUCGUUGCCGGGGAACGGUAGCUGUGCUAGUUUCGAACCAAGUCGUCCGUGUAUCCUUUUUCUUUUCCUUUUAUACCACACUCACCUUACCAUUUUCACCACACCACAUGGAUUUCACUCUAAGCAUUAAUGAGCAUGGAAUUUAUUUCAUAGCCACUUCACUUACUCCAUGCUCAUAUGCAACAUCUUCACAAUCCAUUGGUCUCUCCAAUAUCACCACAUUCAAGAUCUCCAACCCCCUCUUCCUUUCUAUUUAUAAAAACUUUAAAAGGGUGGUUGUCGAUGCAUAUGUCUAUAAUAUAUAUUGCAGAUCUCGUUGAGUUGAUCUUGAUAUAGGUCAGCGUUGGAGCGGAAACCACUUCGCAGACAUAAAUUAAUGGUUUCCCAAGGACAAGCUUAGUGUCCUAAAAUAAGCACUGAUCAGAUCGUAACAUGAGCUUUUAAUUAUUUGCAAUAUUACCUUGUGUGUUAAGCAUAUAAGGAUAAUUGUAAAAACAUUCCUUCGGGUAUUCUUGUCACUAACCUUUCUAGGAUUGGAGCAAGAAGAUCGAAUGAAUGACAAGCACAAGGUAUGUCCAACCAAUCAUCAUACAACAUUGAAUUAAAUUCAUCCAAACUUGAAUUUUGCAAAAUUCAAGCUUGGGGGAGUACUUUACAUAAAAACAUCCUUUGCCAUGUUGCUAUGUUGGUUGUCCCUACCUUUGAGACAUGCUCAAUUUGUUAAAUACUAGUCACACUACUUCAUCUCCACUUGAGUAGAUCUCUAUAAAUGCUUUCAUGCUACCUUUAUUUGCUUUAGUAUAUGUCUAGGUUUGGAGUAGUUUCAUUUAUCUCUUAAUUAAGCAAGGUGCUUAGUUUAGGAAAGAUGAUCUUACUUCCAAAGGAUUUUAAAUUAAGCAUGAUGCUUAGGUUAAAAUUCCCUCCUAAAUCAAAUUAGACAUGGUGUCUAGGUUGAUCUUUGAGCCGAUAGUAUGCUAUAGUAGAUAUUGGAUAUUUUGUUGGACUAACCCCUACAGGAAAACUUUCAAUAUCGACCUGGGAAGUCCUGAGAUAAACUCACAUUGGAGAUAAAGAGAGAGACACAUGAAGUUUAACAAUUUACACAAGGAAGGCACAAGAGAUGAUCGAUGGAGGGUGCCACAAACACGAUGCACAACCGCUAAGAGAGGAAAGCUUCCACAAGGUGAUAUUGUACCAUCACUCUUCAAGUAAGGUAACAUUUUAAGGUACUUGACUAUCACUUCUAUAAGCUUCUCCUUUGUUCUAGUGUUCACAUGAAUAAAAGAGACAAACAUGUAUGAUUUACAACUCUAGAUUAACCAACACAAUUGAUUCAAUAUGUUUAGUCCUUCCACCUUUGUGAUUCCACACUCCUAAUCAUAUUAGCUAAAAUGUUGCACACUCAAUCUUUGAAAGAUAUAAACAAAACAUAAAUAUAGAUAGAUUAUCUUUCCAUAAGGUUGAGCAAUCUGAUCUAACAAAUGUUUUAAAUGUUACACUCAUGGUCUUAUUAUCCAUCAACUUUGUCUUUCUCACUAUGCUUAAGGUUAGAGAGAACAAAUACACUUUUGGUUCUGUUGGUGUUUUCCACCAACAGGGCCCAUGCACUUGAUCUCUGCCUUGUCUCUAUGAGCAGGUACACUUUGAGCAAAAUAUGAAGGACUUUUAUAACUCCUAGACUCCACCAAGUGAAGAACCUAGAUCUACGAGCACAAACACACUGGAGAUACUAGACACUCAGGCAAUCACUGCCCUGAGAUGCUUGAGGAUGUAACUACUGGAGUAACCCUGUUGUGGAAGUAAUUACUGACCUUCUGCCGGUUAAGAGAUACAAUCCAGGACAUCCCGUCAUCCCGAUCUCCAUCGGCAUGGUGGACUUCCCAGAAGCACUCUGCGACUUUGGCUCUAGCGUCAACAUUAUGCCCAGGGUACUCUAAGAAAAAUUCUUUACACAUCCUUUAUCAGAAACAACCAUGGGUUUGCAGCUUGCAGACCGUACACUAAGUUUCCCAAAAGGAAUAUUGAAGAACCUCUGUAUACGAGUUGGUACCUUGUACGCCCCAGCAGACUUCAUGGUGAUAGAGACUGGUACUAAUGAGAGGGCACCCAUCCUAGGGAGGCCAUUCCUGAACACCUCAGGAGCUGUCAUCUACGCUAGUGCUGCCAAGAUCAGUUUCUACAUCAAGGGGAGGAAGGAGACGUUUUCCUUCAAGAACAAGACUACACAAAUCUUAGAGCAAUCCUGACAUGAAACAAGGAAAGGACCAACAGGAGGAACAAGAACAAGCAAAUGUGGACCGAGUCAGCUAAGAUGGUCACUGUAGUUCAAGGAGGUCAAGAUCAUCGACUUAAGUCACCAUUCCUGACCAAAAAGGAUGACCCAGCUCCUGCAUGGAGCCAUGCAUCUACAACCAAAAUACAUUCAGCUCCAGAUGAUUUGAAGGUUAUUAUCAUGGGAGAAGACGAGUACAAUCCACCCAUCAUCCUUGGAAGACCGUUCCUCAACACCGUUAAAGCAAUCAUCUACAUUGGAACCGGAGAAGUCCACAUGCACUUCCCCUCUGAGAAGGUACGCCACUAUUUUACUGACCCUAACCAUAUAGUUGAAGACUCUAAGCAGGUCAGGACAAGAAGAAGACGACGCAACCGCAAUCAGAGAAGGCAAAUCAUCAAGGACGGAUGGGUAGACUAUGAAGGAGAAGUUGUAAGGUCUGAAGACAUACAACUUGAAUAGAACUGUCCUGAGGAGACCGUAGCACCGAGUCAGGUGUGGAGAGAGAAGAUAGUUAUACAUGAAGACCAGGCGCUGCCGGAACCACCGACUACGCCAUCUAGCGAAUCCCAGGACGAAUGAGAAAACGGAGAGUCCCGUUCGGAGGAUUUAAAAACACCGAACGCCUUGCCAAGAGGUAAACUUAGUAGUUAUCUUUUCCUUUCAAUUAUUUUAAAAUAGUUUACUUAGUUAGUCAGGUUUAUAUCAUCUUGAAAAGAAAAUAAAAAUGUUAAAAAUAGUAAGCCCCAUGUGAGUAUGCUCAUGGCAUAAAACCCAUAAGUACAUUCACUGUGGUGGCAUAAAAAUAAAAUAAAUAUAUUCCUGUCCUAUAAAAAUGAAAAUAUAAAAAUAAAUUUAUGAUCCUACUAAAGAGAGUAACAUUUAUUGAGGAGGCUCAACAUGAUAAAGGCUAGGUAUUUACGCUAACCCUUAACCAGUUCCACAAAGCUUUGUUGUCUAUUUGAGCUCCACAGAAUUCAAGGAUCAAAGAAGACUACCAGACGGAGGACAUCCUACUCACUGUCAAGGUGCUGCCGACAUUCAAAUACACCUCCGCCACUUGCUAGCUACAUCAGAAGAAAUUAUGUCAAAAUCCAGCUUGGGGAAGAGCACCCUCAUUUAUCCAGCUAAGUAUUCUACUCACGUUUAUACUUUACUCUAAUAAUAAAAAGAUGCAUAAUCAUAAAAACCCAAAUAAAGAUUUUGUGCUUAUAUAUAUAUAUCUUUGCUUAGCUUGCUAAAUAAAUAAAUAAAUAAAGUUUGCUAUGAACCCUCAUGAUAAGCUCUCACAUGGAAAGAUGAAUAGUUGCUCUGCCAUGACUAGUUCUCAAAAUUGAAAUCUCUCUCAAGUUUAGGCAUCACUGUUAUUAAUUAAGAUUUGCUCUAAACCUAAACUUGUGGGAAGAGUACUUGAUCUAAAGUCUAAGUCGUUAACGGAUAUGAUAUGGGAAGGUUGAGCUGCUGUUUAUCUAUUCCUAGAGAUGCUAGAAUUUUGGAGAAUUUUAUCUUUGAAAAUCUUUAAAAUGUUGCAUGAUGAGUUCCUGUAUAAUGAGAGUUUAAAUUCCUACCAUAGCCAUAUAUACAUCCUUGCUAGACUUUGAGCCACACAUUUACUUUUUACUGCUUAUGAGCAUUGAGUGUGGUCAAGCUGUGUAGACCCUUAGGAGCUUGUCAUGUGGUUAAAAUCAAGAUUCACUUGCACGUUCACUCACACAUGCUACUUCUACUCCAGAAGUACCAUCCACAUAUAUCCAUCCAUUUCCAUCUCCAGAACCACCCAAAAAUAUUCUACUCCUAAUCCGGGAGAGAAUAGCCAAAAACAUUCUCCUAUUUCUGUUUUUCCCUGUGAAAAAAAAAUGCUCAAGUUAUCUUGGUUACUACCACUUGCUACAUUAUUUCAAGAGAUGAGUGCUCUAAAAAAAACAAAAAAAAAAGAGAAAAAAAAGAUACGAGGAAAUAAAAAGGGGCAAGUGCCCGGAACCUCGAAAGAAAAGAAAAAGUGAGACGAGAGGUAAAAAUGGACAAGUGUCCGACAGUAGAAUUAGGGGUACAAGAUACCCACUUGAGAGAAAAGAAAAAAAAAAUAUAGAGCAUCUCAUUCUCUUCAAAAAGUUUCAAAAGUGCAAGAAAGGUAUGUAUCCCCUCAAAAGAGCAUAAGUAGAAUUAGACUUUCACCAUUGUUAUCACCAUCAUCACCGUACACCAUUCAUUCGCCACACAUGCACAUCUUGAUUUGACUUAUUGACUUGUUCUUUUGGAUCCAUGGUUUGACUAUGCAAUAAAUGUCUUGUAAGUAUGUAUUAGCUGUCUCCCACCUAUGAGCUCCAGAUAUCAAAAGCCUUAUUAGAGUAGGGUGAGAGAGAAGGCAAUGUCACUAUGCCUUAUACCACAAAUACCACAUACUUUGAGAGAAGGCAUAUACCAUUACUACCUUGGUAAGGAUCCAGAAAUACCACAAAAGAGAGACUAGAGAGAGUCAUACAAGGAAUCUCUGAGUUUUAUUUGAAUAUCUGCAAAAACUCCAGAGCUAUAGUUAAUCGAAGAACAAGAGACAUGGUGUUUGACUAGACUGUUCUAUCUUUUAACUACUCAAGACAGAAGUGACGGUUACAAGUCCCAUGGUGAAAGGCAAAUGAGUAAGUUUUAAGUCUUAACAGUUUACUCUAACCAGAGAUGAGAUCUUGUUUAAACGCAUGUGUAUCUUUAAGUUAUGAAACCACUGCAGAAACUCUUGAGUUCAUCUUUGCUCAGGGACGAGCAAAGGUUAAGCUUGGGGGAGCUUGUUGACGGUCCUUAAUGCUCAUAUUUAACCAUCAAUUAAUCAUAGAAAAGGAUCCAAAUGCAACCAACACCUAGACUUAGGGUUUUAUCUGACAGAAUUCCACAAGUUUUGGUGUUUGUCUAUUUCUGCAGGGGGUUAUCAGGAAAUAUGAAAGAAAGGCCCACACGUCGGGUUUACAUAGAGAUAUUAACGUGCCGCACAAUUUUCUAUCAUCUAGAAGACUCCAGAAGCCACGGGACCGAAGCGGAAGCCGAGAGGCCUCAGGGACAGGGCGCCCGCCCUAGUCCUGAGGGCGCCCGCCCACCUCUUUCCACCAAUCAGGGUGAAGUUCGAGGAUCAUGCUCCACCGACCUAAUACUUCAAGGAAAACCACACGAUCAAUGUCGGUUUGAUCCGACGGCCCAGAUUCACUUGAAGGGACUAUAAAACCAGACCCCCUGGCCCCUGGAGAUCAUACCUCUUCUACAGAAUCAAAGUUAGGGUUUCAAUUCUUCAUCCAAGUAGAGAGGAUCCCUCUAGUUCUUCUAGUUCUACCUCUAGUUCAUCUAGAUCUAGUUCUAGUUCAUAUAGUUCUAGUUCUAGUUCUUCUAGUUCUAGUUCUAGUUAGUUCUAGUUGUAAUCUAGAAAAUAGGGAGAGAGAAGAGGAGAGCGGAGGAGGAGCCGGAUCUGUCGGAUCUUCCUUAACAUUAUACUUUUGCAGCAUCUGGUUCGUUCUUCAUCGUUCUCCAGGUUCUUCAAUUCAUAAUUCCUGAGUUCUUUAAUUACUUUUAUUUACAUUCAAGUUAUUUAUUGGAUUCCUGCUUGCAUCAAGUGCUCUAGUCUUUAUAACGCUAGAGUAGUAAUUAAUAGAUUAGACGUGGUGUUUAGUCUUGCAAUUACCUGGAAUUGCACCCAAUCCUGCGGAUUGUUGUGGUAGCCUUAGGGUAGUGACAGCCCUAACGGUCGACGUAUUCCACCACGUUCGGAUCGGUGUUUGUAGGACCGUAGUCGGAGCUUCCUAGCCCCCUUCUCAUCUCUUUCUGUGGUUAGUGUUCUGAUGUCCCGAAAUAGAUAAUCUUGAAGUAAUUCUUGAUUCUUAGAUCAAUUAGAGAACUCUCAGGAAACUUCCUCUCUUCCCACCAAAAAUAAUUAUAUAGUUAUCCUUGGGCGAUCUUGGAUCGUAAUUAGUACACUCACGUUCCCUGUGGAAAAUCGAUACUCUGGAAUACUCCCGGGUGAAGGCUACAUCGGUAUCCGUGCGCUUGCGGAUUUUUCUGUUUGCGUUUAAAAUACCCAACAACAAGUGCGGUAUGAAGUGUGUGAGCUCUACUGCGUAUGAUCAUGGUGUUGUGCAUUCUAUUCCUGAGUCCCUCCUUUUAUAGCUCCAAGGAGAGACCCAGGGUACAUGUAUAGGCGCCAGAAUAAGAAUCGAUAGCAGCAUGGGGCGCUGACCUACUCGAGGCUUCCGUACCGGCAUGGCCUCGAGCCGUCCCGUCUUGAUAGCCUGGUGAUGAUUACGCAUGCCCCUGCAUUCUGCUAUGCGCGCCGUCUUGUGUUGGCUCAACGGUCGCACGCUUGUACGGUAUGGCGGCAGAUCCGGCGGGGUGGUUGUGGUGUUAUCUGUCGACGCCCAAUUCGUCCCCAGGAUGGAACCCCGUUCGGUCGAGGGCCGGACGCGGUGUAAUGUGCCGAUGUCUGGAGCGCUGACCUUGGAUGUCUCGAGGGGGUCCCGAUUAGACGUUCCAUCCUUGUUUCCUGCGUCCUGACACGCCCUGGGUCGUUUGGUGGGAAAGCUGCAAACAGAACGAUGGGACAGAUGCCUUUCCCUAUCACGCCUCCCGUGACCUGUGUGUUAGGUGGGGAAGCGUCAGGCGCAUUUAAUGUCCCGGCUCUCGUGCGCGCGUCAGGCGGCGGACAGUGUCCUUGCGCUCGACGCCUUCUGAUUCGCUCGAGCCUAUUUCCGUAUUCGAUGGUAGUCAGCACUCAACCCCCAAGUGGUUCGCUCGACGUUAUUUCCGUCUUCGAGGCUGCAGCCGUCGAUUGCUGCGCACAUGUGUGACCAGAACGUCGAGUUGAGGGCCUCGACUUGCGUAUGGAUAAUCUUGCUAGGUGCAUCGGUGAGGGUACCCCUUACUGAUACCCUCGACACCAACACUGUCGAAUAAACUUAGCUUCGAUGAGUUUGGUUAUUUCAACCUUAAUAUCAGGAAGAAUAUUAGAGUUACAUCGACGCGCUGGUUGCUAAUAUGGCUGAAAUCGAGACUAAAUAGGCAACUGAUGCUCGACAAUCGAUCGGUCUAAUCUAGGCAUCUCGGUAUAAUCCCAAGCAAAGCAAUCUUUAUAUUCCUUCAAUAAAUCGAUUAAUUGCCGUUUACAUUCAGAAUCUAGCUUAGCACUAAUAAAAGUAGGUCUUGGUCUAUCACCACUUCCUAUAUCUACUUCUAUUAAAUCAUCAGUCGAUGUAAAUCCCUGUCCUAACUUUCCAUCAUCGGCGAACCUAUCCAUUAAAACUCUUCAUCAGAACCGACUGCUUGGAUCGGUGGAAUCUCAUAAUCGGCAACUUUGAGGAAAUCUUUCUCCUAAGCUUCUCCCGAUAUACAUCUAGUUCACUCAUAAGUAUCUGAUUCUGCAGAUGCAAUGUUAUAGGAAGAAUCUCCAAGAACAACUUCAAUUUUGUCGCCUACCCAUUGAACAAGGCAUUGAUGCAUUAUAGAAGGAAUGCAACAGUUGGCAUGAAUCCAAUCUCUCCCCAAUAGCAAAUUGUACGCACCUUUUCCAUUGAUGACAAAGAAAGUCGUCGGCAUGGUCUUGUUGCCGAUAGUCAAUUCAACGCACACAACCCCUUUAGCUGGAGACACAUUACCUUCAAAAUCUUUCAACAUCAUAUCGGUCUUGGUUAAAUCCUGAUCUCCUUUACCAAGCUUAUGAUACAUCACAUAAGGCAUAAUGCUCCAUCAAUAAGUAUUUUCAAAACUGGCUGCCCAUCAACUCUGGUUUUAACAAACAAAGCUUUAAGAUGUUGCCUUUCAUCAUCAGAAGAUUUCUCAAAAAUAGCUGUCAUUGGAUCAAGUGUCAGCUGAGCUAUUUGAUCAGGGAGACUAAUUUCUUCUUCAUCACUAUAGGGUGCAAGAAACUUCAUCGACAACAUGAACACCAUGUUGACAUCUGCCGAUGGUCCUUUCCCUUUGCGGUCUAACUGCUGCCGAUCUUCAGAUUUAGAAGAAUUUAACUCUCUGUAUAAAUCUUCCUGACGCUCCCGCUGCAUCCUCCUCCGCUGCGUCCUUGUCAAUCCAUCUAGACACCAUCGGGGAAGCUUUGUCCUCCAAACUGGCUGAUAACGAAUUUCCUUUGAUUCCACACAAUGAAUGUUUGAAUCUCUACAAAAUAUGAAUUCAUCGGGAACUCGUGCAUUUGCUAUUUCUUCAAGUUCUUCCUGAUUCCUUAGGAAAUGACCAACACGUUCACCAAGACUGUCAUGCACACUAAGCCUGCCCCCUAGCCGAUCGUGAACUGAUGUUCUCCCCCUGAUUGGCUCUGAAACGUCGAUCAUUGUUUUGGAAUCUCCGAUCUGACCGAUCGUACCGAUGAUAACCAUUGCACUCAGGACAGUCUCGAACAGUCGGCAAUUUGAUAUUUUGUUCCCAGCAAUGACAGUCUUCUCGUUGCUUCUCUUCUUGUUGAUGCCGAUACCGAUUCCAAUGAUCUUUAUACCGAUUCCAUUCUUCUCGUUGCUUCUCUUCUUGUUGAUGCCGAUACCGAUCCUCACACUGCUGCCAUGUUUCUCGAUGCCGCCUAUGAGUAAUUACAACAUCAAAGCAGGGAGAGCAUCCAGAGCUCCUAUCCUCCCUUACCAAACCUUUUCCUUUGGCAUCAUUAGUAGUUACUUGAUGCUAGGGAUCCACCGAUGCGUUCUUCUCAGCCGUCUCCGAUGUUAAGACUUUGGUCUUACCUUUGGCAUCUAACAUGUUUGUAGGGAAAGGAUGCUGAUCAAUCUUCAUCAGCUUCUAAGUUUUGGAACUAUCAAACUUGAUUCUUCUAGAUUCUAUAGCUGAUUGCAAUUGCUGCCUAAAUACUUUGCAUUCAUUGGUGCUAUGUGAGGUUGCAUUGCGCCAUUUGCAAUACAUGAUUUUCUUUAGCUCCUCUACCGAUGGAAUUACAUGAUUAGGUGACAAUUUAAUCUGUCCUUCUUGAAGCAAGAAAUCAAAUAUCCUAUCGGCUUUGGUGAUAUCGAAAGAAAUCUUUUCUGGUUCUUUCUGGCCAAAAGGACAAGACAUCGGCUUUUUGUUUUUUACCCACUCUACCAAGGCGAUGACUGGUUCUUCAUCAGAAUCAGAACUCCCUGCCUCAUCAACAAAUGAUUCUUUCUUAUUCUAAGCCUUUCUCGGUUCAAAAGACUUAAUAUCUUGAUCAGAAAUCCUUUGCACCGAAUGACUUAAACUUUCAAACUCUUGAGAAGCAUAUUUAUCUUUGAUGUGUGGCAACAAUCCCUGAAAAGCCAAAUCAGCUAACUGCCGAUCAUCCAGAACCAGACUAUAACAUUUGUUCUUUACAUCUCGCAGCCUCUGCACAAAGCUUUCCACCGAUUCAUCAUUACGUUGUCUCAAUCUUACUAAAUCGGUAAGCUUCUUCUCAUGAACUCCAUAAAAGAAGUAUUUAUGAAACUGCUUCUCUAGAUCGGCCAAAGUAAUGACUGAGUUUGGAGGCAAUGAAAUAAACCAGGUAAAAGCCGAUCCUGACAAAGAAGAUGAAAAUAAACAAACUCUCAAUUCAUCUCAGUUAGUAGUUUCUCCACAUUGAAUGAUAAACUGUUUGACGUGUUCCAUGGUCGAUGUAUCAUCUUGUCCAGAGAACUUAGUAAAAUCUAGCACCUUGUACCGAUUUGGGAGUGGAAUUAAAUCAUAGGCAGGAGGAUACGGUGUCCGAUAAGAAUAAGUGUUAACCUUGGGUUUUAUCCCAAACUGAUCCCUCAUAAACUCUGCUAUCUUAUCGUCCCAAUAGGCAUCGGCAUCUUGCCGAUGUACGGGUUGAGCUUCUGGCACUUGCUGAUAGGCUUCAAUGUGUCACUGGGGUACACGGUCUACAGGAAACAUCACAUUAGCCAUAGCUUGCUGCCCACCGAUCUGUUGAGCAAGAUUCAUUGGCUGAUUUGCCGGCAUCUGAUUCUGAAAACCAACCAGCAUUUGACCUUGUUGGAAUCCUCCAGCCUGAUGAUUCUGCUGUGUUGCAUGCGGGAAGAUUAACUGUCCUAUCCAACCACUGUUAGUGUUCAUUGGCCCAAAAUUUGCCGAUGGCUGGUAAUUGGUUGUCAUUGCUAGAUUAACAUAACCUGCCUGAGACAUCAACCUUUACUGUGUCAGCAAUGGAUUUGCCGAUGAAUUUGCAUUAGGCGUCUGGAAUGUGGGCGCCUAAAAAUUCCCCGUAACUAGCCUCGCAGUGGUUGUUGUAGAAUACUGAGGAAUUUGAGUCAUCGGCGAGACUGGAGGCACCGAUGUUAUGGGAGCUUUCCGUGCUAAGUGAGUUGCCUGAGAGGUUCCAGAACUAUUUGCAAAAAACUCUGGAGGCAUACCAUAUCCCCACCAGUUGGGAGGAACCUAGCAAUUCUGAAAUACAGACCCUGACAUUGCCGAUGCCGAUAGAUCUGUGUUGAGCUGAACCCGUCCCCCUGAGGUCAUUGGAUCAGAUCUCAUCGGUGUAGAUUGCUCAUUAGUUAAUCCCAAUGUGCUCGGAGGAGAAGUAGCUUUUGUACCCACAACGGCUAGAGGAGCCGAUGGAGCUGCGACCGAUGACAAUCCUAGGUGAUGAUUGGCCGGGCCAGCAUAAAGUGGUGGUGUCUGUCCUUCUUUAAAAGUUCGAACCACAACAAUGUAAACAGUAUUGGACAACACAUUGGAGUGAUUAAUCAAAGCAUGAUUAAUAGCAGUUGUUGGGCAUUCUUAACGUCAUUACCAAAAGUAGACUUAGUUUUCUAAUUAUGAUAACGGCGCCAAAAAUGCCGAACCUAUCCCUCAUGCCACUUAAGCCAAUUUGUCAUCCCUAGCAUGACAUGAGAGACGCGGUAUUGAAAUAUGCAAUUGCUCUUCUGAAUGAAUAAUAAAUGAGAUCUGCAAGCGCACAGAUUAAUACCGUAUGUAGCAUUUUAACUGGGAAGUAUUCUAGGUAUCGUUAUUUAUAUUUUUACCACUGGGAAGGGAUCGCUAAUCAUCAAUGUUGAUUAUGGAAUGGAAUAUAGAAUUGAGUAUAUAUCAUUGUAUUUGUAAUAGAGAGCAUUAUCUAUCUCUUUCAUACAGGGAUAAAUGUCACAUAAAAUAUAGAUAAAGUAUGAAUGGUGACAAAGAUAAUUAAUCUGAUCAGCAUAACUAGCGACAUAUAAUAAUGAUAAGCACCUCAAUAGAUAUUCUAGCAAGUCAUUAGCAUGGAAUUAGGAUGAACUACAAGAAUAUUUCCUAAGUUAUUCUUAACUAUAAAGUCUAGCAUAUCAUAGUUAGUGCAAUUAUACUUGGCAAUCAUUGCGAGACAGGACUACGCCCAUGCAUAGUGAUAUUAUCAAGGAAAAUGAGAAACAUAGCAAUCACUCCCCUAUAAUAAUGUUGUUCUGCCUGCCCUAUACAUGAGAGGGGGACUAUAUAAGAAUCAAAGGAGCUGUCACUACCACGAACUACCCUGCGAUCCCGCAUAUAGGGUACAAUCGUAGAUAAAUACGGUAUAGGCACCACGCCUACACAAUACUUAUCAUCUACCCACUAUACACAUGGAUAAACGCUAUACGAUCCUAAACAUGUAUAUAAUUCUAAUCUAACUAAGCCAAGCAUAUAACUAUGAUAAACUAAGAACAAUAUAAUUGCAAAUAUAAACAAGUAGAGCAAAGUCAUAAUCAAUAUAUUGAAGUAGAACAAAGUCAUAUCCAUAAUAUUGAAGAACAAUGAUGAACAAAUAAAGGACAGUAGAGGAAUUACCAAGAAUCCUCUUGACAGAUCUAGAAACCAAUCGAAGAUUGACUCCUUCUAGUUCUAAUCCUAUGUAGCUAUGCUAAACUAGAGAUCUAAUGAUGUGGUGGCUCUAGGGCUUGAUCAGAGGCUUCUUCUCUCGAGAUGGAUAAAUGAACUAGGGUUCAGAGGUCCUCUCCUCCAGGGGCCAGGGGGUCUGCUUAUAUAGUCCUUCCAAUUGAAUGUGGGCCGUCGGAUCAAACCGACAUUAAUCGCACGGUUUUCCUUAAUCCCUUAGGUCGUUGGAGCAUGAUCCGCGAGGCAGAGCCUGAUUGGCUCUCAGGUCAGGGCGGGCGCCCAAGGGAGGAGGGCGGGCGCCCUGCCCCCGGGUCCGCUCGGUCUCCCGCUCAUUCCCGUUGCUUCUGAACUCUUCUAGAUGUUAGAUAAUUGCGCCGCACGUUAAUAUCUCUAUGUAAACCCGACGUGUGGGCCUUUCCUCCAUAUUUCCUGAUAACCCCCUGCAGAAAUAGACAAACACCAAAACUCGUGGAAUUCUGUCAGAUAAAACACUAAGUCUAGGUGUCGGUUGCAUAUGGAUUCUUUUCUUUGUUUAUUUGUUGAUUAUAUUUGAUACUUAAGGACCGUCAACAAACUCCCCCAAGCAUACCUCUUGCUCGUCCCUGAGCAAGGAUAGACUCAGUGAUGGAUCAGAAGCUGCUGUAAUGCCUUUAAAAGUUGACGGUACACAUGCUUUCAAAUGAGGUCUCAUCUCUGAGUUAGAGUAAACUGUCAAGACUUAAAAUUUACUCAUUUUACCUUUUACCAUGGGACUUGUAACCGUCACUUCUGUCUUGAGGAGUUAAAAGAUAGAACGGUCUAGUCAAGCGCCAUGUAUCUUAUUCUUGAUCAGCUAUAGCUCUGGAGUUUUUGCAGAUUUUCAAAUAAAACUCAAAGAUUCCUUGUAUGACUCUCUCAGAUCUCUCUUUUGUGGUAUUUCUGGAUCCUUACCAAGGCAGUGAUGGUAUAUGCCUUCUCUCAAAGUAUGUAGUAUUUGUGGUAUGAAGCAUAGUAAACUUGCCUUCACUCUCACGCUACUUUAAUAAGACUUUUGAUAUCUGGAGCUCAUAGGUGGAAGAUAAAGUAUACAUACUUACAAGACAUUUAUUGCAUAGUCAAACCAUGGAUCCAGAGAAACAAGUCAAUAAGUCAAAUCAAGAUGUGCAUGUGUGGCGAAUGAAUGGUGUAUGGUGAUGAUGGUGAUAACAAUGGUGAAAGUCUAAUUCUACUUUUGCUCUUUUGAGGGGAUACAUACCUUUCUUGCUCUUUGAAACUUUUGAGGAGAAUGAGAUGCUCUACAUUUUCUUUUUCUUUCCUCUCAGGUGGGUACCUUGUACCCCUAAUUCUACUGUCGGACACUUGUCCAUUUUUACCUCUCGUCUUACUUUUUCUUUUCUUUCGAGGUUCCGGGCACUUGCCCCUUUUUAUUUCCUCGUAUCCUUUCUUUUUUUCUUUUUUUUAGAGCACUCAUCUCCUGAAAUAAUAUAGCAAGUGGUAGUAACCAAGAUAUCUUGAGCAUUUAUUUCAAAGGGAAAAACAGGAAUAGGAGAAUGUUUUUGGAUAUUCUCUCCCGGAUUAGGAGUAGAAUACUUUUGGGUGGUUCUAGAGAUGGAAAUGGGUGGAUAUAUGUGGACCGCAUGACAAGCUCCUAAGGGUCUACACAGCUUGACCACACUCAAUGCUCAUAAGUAGUAAAAAGUAAAUGUGUGGCUCAAAGUCUAGCAAGCAUGUAUAUAUGGUUGUGGUAGGAAUUUAAACUCUCAUCAUACAGGAACUCAUCAUGUGAUAUUUUAAAGAUUUUCAAAGAUAAAAUUCUCCAGAUUUCUAGCAUCUCUAUGAACAGAUAAACAGCAGCUCAACCUUCUCAUAUCAUAUCCGUUAACAACUUAGACUUUAGAUCAAGUUCUCUUCCCACAAGUUUAGGUUUAGAGCAAGAUUUAAAUUAUAACAGUUACGUCUAAACUAGAGAGAGAACUCAAAUUUGAAAAUUAGGCAAAGCAACUAUUCAUCAUAUCCAUGCUAGAGUUUUAUUAAGAUUUAGUUUAGCAUAGCCACUUAUUUAUUUAUUAAGCACACUAAGCAAAAUAUAUAUAUAAGCAAAAAAUCUUUAUUUGGUUUUUCAUGGUUAUGUAUAUUUUUUUAGUAUAGUAUAAGUAUAAAUAUAGACAGAAAUACUUAGCAGGAUAAAUCGGGGUGCUCUCCGCCAAGUUGGAUUUUGACGUAAUUUCUUCUGAUGUAGCUAGCAGGUGGUGGAGGUGUAUUUGAAAGUCGGCAGGACCCUGACAGCGAUUAGAUUGUCCUCCGUCUGCUAGUCUUCUUGAUUCUUGAAUUCUGUGGAGCUCAAAUAGACAACAAAGCUUUGUGGAACUGAUUAGGUGUUAGCAUAUAUAUCUCACCUUUAUCAUGUUGAGCCUCCUCAAUAAUUGCUACUUCCUUUGGUAGGAUCACAAUUUUAUUUUUAUAUUUUCAUUUUUUAUAGAAUAGAAGAAUAUUUUUAUUUUAUUAUUUUUUCUGCCACCACAGUGAAUGUACUUAUGGGUUUUAUGCCACUUGUAUACUCACAUGGGGCUUACUGGUUUUAACAUUUUUUUAUUUUUCUUUUUAAGAUGAUAUGAACCUAAUUAACUAAGUAAAAUAUUUUAAAUAAUUGAAUGGAAAAGGAUAACUACCAAGUUUACCUCUUGGCAAGGCGUUCGAUGUUUUUAAGUCCUCCGAACGGGACUCUCCGUUUUCUCAGUCGUCCUGGGAUUCGUUGGAUGGCAUAGUUGGUGGUUCCGGCGGCGCCUCCUCUCCAUGUAUAACUAUCUUCUCUCUCCACACCUGACUCGGUGCUAUGGUCUCCUUAGGAUAGUUCUGUUCAAGCUGUAUGUCUUCAGACCUUACCACUUCUUCGUAGUCUGCCCAUCCGUCCUUGAUGAUUUGCCUCCUAUGGUUGCGGUUGCGUCGUCUUCUUCUUGUACUGACCUGCUUAGAUUCUUCAACUAUAUAGUUAGGGUUAGUAAAAUAGCGGCAUACUUCUCAGAGGGAAAGUGCAUGUGGACUUCUCCGGUUCCAAUGUAGAUGAUUGCUUCAACGGUGCUGAGGAACGGUCUCCCAAGGAUGAUGGGUGGAUCGUACUCGUCUUCUCCUAUGUCAAUAACCUGAAAGUCUGUAUGGAAAAAAUGAUCAUCUAUUUUAACAGGGACAUCAGUUACUAUACCUUCCACCUUUUGAAAUGUCUGAUCUGCCAUCUGGAGCUGAAUGUAUAUCGGUUUUAGAGGCACGGUUCCGAACAGGAGCUGAUAGGUGACUGCAGCCAUUAUGUUGACACCUGAUCCAGUGUCGCAAAGUGUCUUGUAGAAGUUGUACCCAUUGAUGGAGCAAUGGAUGCUUGGCAUACCUGGGUCAUCCUUCUUGGUCAGGAAUGGUGACUUAAGUCGACGAUCUUGACCUCCUUGAACUGCAGUAACCAUCUUAGCUGACUCGUUCCACACUUGCUUGUUCCUGUUCCUCCUGUUGGUCCUCUUCCUUGGUUCUUGUUGGGAUUGCUCUGGGAUUUGUGUAGUCUUGUUCUUGAAGGAAAACGUCUCCUUCCUUCCUUUGAUGUAGGAACUGAUCUUGGCAGCACUAGCAUAGAUGACAGCUCCCGAGGUGUUUAGGAAUAGCCUCCCUAAGAUGACGGGUGCUCUCUCAUCAUUACCGGUCUCUAUCACCUUGAAGUCUGCUGGGGCGUACAAGGUACCAACUCGGACGUAGAGGUUCUUCAGUAUUCCCUUCGGAAAACUUAACGUCCGAUCUGCAAGCUGCAGACACAUGGUUGUUUCUAGUAAAGGAUAUGUAAAGAAUUUUUCAUAGAGUACCCUGGGCAUAAUGUUGACACUAGAGCUAAAGUCGCAGAGUGCUUCUAGGAAGUCCACCAUGUCGAUGGAGAUGGGGAUGACGGGGCGUCCUGGAUCGCCUCUCUUGACCGGCAGAAGGUUAGUAGUUACUUCUGCAGCGGGGUUACUCCAGUAGUUACCUGUAUCAAACAUGUCUACAAGAUUUGCAGAUUCUAAUCCUUCCGGUUGUGAUGGUAUACCGGGGUUAGUAGCAGGAAUAGCAGCAGCUAGUUGAUUUAACUGAGAUUUAAUUAUUUUAUUAAAGCUAAUUUGAUUCUUGAUGGUAGUAGAGAAAUUAUCCAUUCUAUUAUUUAUAUUUUCUAGCAUUUUAUCAUUAGAUGCCAAUUUCUUAGAUAGGUUAUCCAUUAGCUUUCCUUGAUUAGACACUAACUCUCUCACAGGUGGAAAAUUAUUAUUAUUAUUGUAAGAAUUGUUACCUUGAUAAUUACCUGAGUAGUUAGGCCUCUUUUGAUUCCAACCUUGAUUUUGUUGAGGACAGUUGUAGUAGUAGUUGUUGUUGUUAUU
rnacentral:lncRNA from 1 species